rnacentral:lncRNA from 1 species
GGUAGUUCAGGAAGCGGUGGCAAUUCGACUUUCGGCAAUGAUGGGAAUUCUGGCUUUGGCAAGCUAGGGAUGUCAGGAAGGUGAGGCAAUUCAGGCUUCGGUAGUUCGGGCACUUCGGGCAAGGUCGCCUCCAAAAGUUGGCGGGCUCUGACUGGGUUCUCACCAAUCGUCAAAGACAGAGCGAGGACAAACAAUGCCAAAAGGUGCGUGAGUCCAUGAUGGUUCGUCAUUGGAGAAUCAAUCGACUAGCAAAUUCAAAAGCUUUGAGUGAAGAAGCGGCGAAUCUCGAGUGAGAGAAUCUGCAGGUGUGCUUGAGCAAUGGCUUGAUGGAGGGCUUAUAAGGAGGAGAGACGUGGAGGAUUGGGGAGAAUGCAAGUAUGGUUUGGUGGGAAUAUUAUCAAAGGGUUAGGUCAACUUCUAAACCAAUCUCAUUUUUGUACGUUCAACAGCAAGAUGGAGCAUAUUAUUCCAAAAGGAGCUUGCCAAUUCUUGGCUUUUCAGGCUUCUGACUACCUGUCGAGGCCAGAAAGAGGGAGAAAAAAAGAAAAGAAAUGGUUUAUGAUCUCACUAUGUACAACAGGACCGGAGUCUUGGAGUCUUAAAAUAUUGGAAAAGCUAAUCAUGUAAGAGCAAAAUAAUAAAUAUUGUCCGUGAUAAUUAUUCGUGGAAUCUUUACUUGAUGUAAGGAUUACUCAAGUGUUAAGCAUGUAUGUUUUCGUCUGAGGCCUAGGUUCGAAUCCUCACAAUUGUGCAUUCUUUUGGACGAUCUUUGAGAACAUAGGUAUGUAUGAAUCCGAUUAUUUCUCAUUUGUGUCGGAUAAAACUACUCUUGCCGGAAAAAAAACAAAACUUUAGGUGACAAAUUUUUAGGGACAGACAUAAAAAGAGAUCCUUAAACAGAGUUUCUAGUUAGGGGUGAGUAGUUCUAAGGUUGGUUUAGGUUUCCACUUAACCAGAACUUGGAAUUUACCCUAUUGAGAUCGGUUUCCCAAUUUUUGAAACUUAAAACCUAUCAUGUAUAUCUUAAAAUUUAUGACCUGCUCUAUCAAUCGAAUCUAAAGUCUAUUAGGGAACCGGCCGAUUUCUCUUCUUCUUCUUCUUUUUUUCAUUUUUUCUUCAUUUUUCUUGUUUCAUUUUAGUCAAGCAAUAGAGAGAACAUGACAACAAAAAUCAUCAUUUGUCAAUAACAAUAAUCUAUAAAAUAUUAGCACCUAAAAUAAAAUAAACAAUAAAAUGUUGAAAACGCAUAAUGUAGAAUCCAAAUUUCAUGCUCUCAAAGGAGUCAAAAACCACGAUAAAAACCAAGGAGUCGAAUGAAGGAACUUUCUUUUUAUUUGAGCCUCGUGUAAGUUCAUGCCAUGCUCUAUUUUAGGAGUACCUUGGUUCUUGUUCUAGUUCUCUGAUUUUCAGUCUGAUUCGCUGAUUCUUAGUUCAAUUCUAUUCAAUUCUUAAGAAUCGCAUAAUACAAGUUCCAAAAAAUAUGAAACCGAAAGCUAUGCUUGUUAGAACCUAGAGAUAGGCCGAUUCCCAUGACCUGUUUGAUCUUUCUUGAUUAUACUUGGAAAAUUUGCUCACCCUCAACUUCUUGUUCCGUCCCUACGGAAAUAUUGAACGAGCCAUCGUUAAUGGUAAUAGUGUAAAUGAUUCAGUUUGGUUCGGUUUUUUCGGAAAACCCAACCAAACCGAACCGAUAAAGAAAUUUAUUGAAUCGAACUGAAAUUACAUCCAAAUCGAAACCGAAUCGAAUCGAAAUCUUGAUUCAAUUUAGUUCAAUUUUUACUUUUUUUUUUGUUUUUCUUUUCCCUACCCCUUUUAAUAAAUUUUUUAUAUUUUAGAAAAAUCAAAUUUUUAAUUAUUUUUUUCUUUUUUUCUUCUUUUUUCCUUUUCUUUCUCUUCUUCAUUCGCUAGUCACUAACUGCCACCGUGGCUGGCAAUUAGCCAAUGAAGAAGAAGAAAAAGAAAAAAGAAAAAAAAUAAAAAUAAACAAUUUAAAAAAAUAAAAUGAAAUAUUUUAGAUUUUAUUGGUUUGGUUCAAUUAACCAAACUGAUAAAAACUGAACUAGUUAAAAAAAUUUCGAUUUUUAAUGAAAAUCGAAUAGAUUGAGAAUCAAACCGAAAAAAAAAAAAAAUCGACAUUUUCGGUUUGGUUCGGUUUUUGACACCCAAGUGAAUGGGCUAGGGGAUAAAUCUAACAUGAAAACUUCAAGUGAAAUCCCAACCUGAAAUAAGAGAAGCGAAGCCCGUCGCAAAAAGAGAAGCCCACCUCCCACUUGAUUUUCUCCCGGCCUCUUCCUCUCCCUUUCCACCCUGCAAAAAGCUCAGCUCGAGUUUCUAUCGGUGUCUCCUUCGCACUCCAGCUGCAGCUCGUCGAUCUCGCGGACGAGAGCUUCUUCAGAUCCGGAUUCCCCGUCGGCUUUCUCCUUCACGGUCUCCGCAGGUCACUUUUCCCUCUCUCUCUCUCUCUCUCUCUCGCGCGCGCGCAUUUCUCUGGCCAAUGUGGGGAGACGAUUCGCGAAGCGGUCGACUGGGGCGGAUGUUUGGAUCGUGGGUUGUGGGAGUUACCGGGUCGGGUCCUUCGUUUCCCCUUAUCUUCUCACUUUUGGGGGGCAUAGCUCAUCUGGGUUGCUCUUGCCAACGAACUAACCCGGCGUGGUUGUAGGCGGUGCCGUGUCUUGUGAGUGCUUGCCCACCUUGUGUUCGCCAUAAUGUUUCACUGGAUUUAUGUAGAGGAGGAGGGUUUUCCAGACUCCUAUUUGCUUCUCUAAUUAUACAUUUUCACGCUUAGUAUUAGGUGAAAAUACCAUACUAAGCAUGACAUGAAAUGUUAGAAUAAUUAAUUAACUUAAUUUUUUAGAACAGUAGUUGAUAUUAGUCCCACAUAAUCUCACUGAACGAGAGAGAGAGAGAGUAAAAGCAGAGACGACCCCACACAACAUACCUACUUUGGCUGCCCAUCAUAAAUUAGAACGUUAACUGACAUGUUCUCGGCGGAGGCAUGGUGGCGAUGAGGUACUGAUGCUGAACUCCACUUCAAUGCCAAUGCCAAUCUGGGUUUUUUCUUCUUUUGUUCGUCUGCAUUAGCUCUUUCACAAGUGCUUGGAACUUCAUCAAUAACCAAUGAAACGCUACCACAGAAGUUUCUGACACCAUAUCUCAAAUAUGAUGCGAUCCUCAUCCCUUAUAUGUAGUGGAAUUUUAAGUACAGAUGUAUCUAUAUUAACACAGGUUUGAAAACUAGUCUGAUAUAUUCCGACCAAAAUGAGAAAAAAAAAACUUGUCCGAUAUAUCAUCAGCCUUUUGAACGUUACAUGCAUUCAAUCUAAUGAGAAAGAUUCUUGUCUUUUGCAAAUAGAAUGAUUAGGUAAUUUCAAGAAAAGUAGAGAAUUUAAAGGAAAGUCUUUGAGAAUCUCAAUCUAAUUACCAAUAUUUAGAUGAUAUUGUUUAUGACUUUGUGUAGUAAAGUAGAACAUGUAUAGAGAGAAGUCAAUAUACUUUUUCAAGUUAAAAGAAAUAAAAAUAGUUUAUGAUAUAUUCAACUAUCGUAAAAAUAUGAACUAUAAAUAUAUAUAGUGAAUUUAAAAUUUAAUAUAUGACAAAUGAUCAUACACUAUUCGAUUGUAUAAUAAACAGCACAUUUUACAUUUUUGUUGAUAUUCUUUUUCACAAUUUAAAUUCCAUGACUAUUGUCAUUCUUAUAACUCUAAAACUAUGAAAAGUUUUCAUAUAAGUUGGAUGUGAAAAGAAGUAGACAAGGAGUUUUAGCAAACAUAAAUUUCAAUAUUUUUGAAAGUAUAAAACUCAAGCAACGCAUGGACAAGUGCACUAGGUAUAUAAACAAAUUACAGUAUACUCUCUCCGUGUAAAUGAAGAAGUUACGCAAAGCAUCACUAACUGCCGUAAUAACGAUUUCCGUUAAGUCAUGUCACAAACCGUAAUACAUAUAAGUACACAUGGCAUAUACCAUUCCAAGGCAUGAUUAGACCGUUAAAAUAGAAGUAAUAAGAUACUAAAUCGCAGCAUAUUCUAUCACGACUCCAAAUCCACAUCAUUGCGGUUCAAGACUACGGGUCUGCAUGGUAACCUUCCACAGCCCAAAAAUUUAUAUUCUUCUCUUCCCCAGAACAAAAAAAGAAUAGAAACCCGUUUGAUAACAACAAGUUAAUUUUUUGUUCCCGGGAACAAAAUGUUAGCCCGGGAAUGGUUUUGGAAUAGAAAUGAGAAGUAAAAAAAAAGUUGCUUCUUGUUCCCGGGAACAAGUUUAAGAAAUAAGUGAAUUUUUUUUUUCUUUUAUUCUUCUCUUGCUAACCGCCAUUGACCACCGUUGACCACCACCCGCCGUUGUUCGCCGCUGCCGGCCGACCGCCGCCCGCCGCCGGCCGACCGCCGGCCGACCGCCGACCAACCGCCGGCCGCCUCCGCCGCCGCCGCCGGUCGCCGGAGGCCGAUCGACCGUCGCCGGUCACUACUGGACGCCGCCGCCACCGCCGGCUGCUGCCGGUCGCCGGAGGCCGACCGACCGUCGCCACCGCCGGUCGCCGCCGCCACCGCCGGUCGCCGACCGACCGUCGCCGCUGGUCAACCCCGGACGCCACCGGUCGCCGACCGACCGUCGCCGCCGGCCGACCGUUGCCGCGGCCACCGCCGGUCGCCGGAGGCCGACCGACCGCCGCCGUCGGUCGACCGCGAUCGCCGCCGAACGCCGCCGCCGCCGCACGUCUCCGCCGGCCGAGCGCCGCCGGCCGACCGACGGUCGGCGGCGGCCGAUGGGCCGUGCGGUAGCGAUUGGCGGCGAGAGUCGGCCGGCGGCGCUCGGCCGGCGGCGACGUGCGGCGGCGGCAGCGUCCGGCGGUGGCCAUGGUAUACCGGAAAAAAUAAAACACAAAUAAAUAUAAAAAAUAAACUGUUUUUUACCAAACGCAUUUCUAUUCUUUUUCUAUUUCUAGAGUAAAAAUUUUGUGUAGUUAUCAAACGGGUUUUUUUACCUAGAAAUUGUUCUCCAGAAUAGAAAUAAAAAAGAACUAUUUCUGAAAAAAAAUUGUUCCCCAGCCAAGAAAUGUUCUCAUGCGCACCCAUAGACAUGUCCUUCAGAAAGAAAGGCAACGUUGGCUUGGGGAAAUCGGGGAGAUGAGGCAAUUUGGGCAAUGCUGGCAAUUCCAGCUUGGGUUUUGUUGGUAUUUCAGGCUUUGGCAGUUUUGGAAAUAGCAGUAAUUCGACUAUUGGCGGUGAUGGCAAUUUCGGUUUUGGCAGGUUUGGGAUGUCGGGAAGGUGAGGCAAUUCGGACUUCAGAAGUUCAGGUACCUUAGGCAACACUGCCUCCAAAAUUCGGCGAGCUUCAACGGAGUUCUCGCCAAUCGUCAAUGACAAAGCAAGGACAAAUAAUGCCAAAAGAUGCGAGAGCCCACAGUAGUUCGCCAUCAUAGAACCAAUAUACUAGCAAAUUGAAAAACUUGUGAAGAAGUGGUUGAUCAAGUGUAAAGGUGCAGGUGUGUUCGAGCAAUGGCUUGAUGGAGGGUUUUUAAAGAGGAGGGACGUGGGGAUUGGGGAGAUUGCAAGUAUGUUUUGGAGGGAAAAUUAUUGAAGUGUUCGUUGAACUUCCAAACCAAUCUCAAUCUCUUUUAUUCAACAACAAGAUGGAGCAGAUAAUUCCAAAAAGGAUCUUUAUAUUCUUGGCUUUUUUAAGCUUGUAAGUGCGAGUUGUUUUGGACUUCCUAGCUAGGCGGGAAAGACAAAAGAAAGGAAAUGAUUUAUGAUCUCACUCUAUGUACAAGAGGACGAAGUCCAUAGCUUUGCUCAGAGAAGUCAACAAUGUUAACAGUAAAAUCUAAGUUUUGCCAGUGAUAAUUAUACAUGAAAAAUAUUCUUGAUGCAAGGAUUGCUCGAGUGGUAGGAAUAUUACUUCUCUUUCUCUGAUAAUUUCAUAAACUUGUGUAUCUGGUAAUUUCUUGAUAUGCGUGGGACAAGGCAGCAACCACUUAACACCAUUUUGGGCCUCAAUAGAGAAGCUUAUGGUCAAGUUGAGGGUAAGGCCACCAACUUUGGAGGGAGUUGGUGGCGUACAAGCCGACUUCGGAGGAGAUGUUAAUUGCUUCUUGAGAAAGUGAGGGUUUAAGAUCCACGAAAUUGCGAAGUUAAGAAGGAGAAGACUAAGCGGUACGGGAAAUUGAAGAACUGCCAACCUCCGAUGAAACUAAAGAUUGAAUGAAACAAUUCAAUUGGGUAAUUGAAGGACUCUCAGUAGAGAGCACCAAGGACAUCAAUCAAUUGGAUGGGGGAGAAUAUCACGGACCGGAGGUUCUCAGGUGCGAUAGGCUGAGGAGGUGGCAAUGUGACCGGGCGUGCCUUAGAUUUAGAGAAGCCCCGUCAUUAAUGGAGGUAUGUGGUAAAUGAAGAGAUAUAUAAAUUUUUUGUAUAUCUCCACUUUUUUCAUCCUAGGAAGAAUAGGUAUUCAUUACUAUGGUCUUUAUGUGUAUUUAAUUCUCUCUUUUCCUCUUCCCCUCAAAAAGAGCGGUCCAAGGGUCACAAUCAAUUCGGGAGAAAUUAGUUUUUCUUUUCUUUAUUUGAUCUUGACUUGCAGUUGGAUGAAUAUUUGGUUAUUAUCCUUCUAAAUAAUAUGCUGAAUAUUACUACAUCUCAAUAAAUAUACACGCUGAUUCACAAUGAAAAAAAAAAAAGAAUUGGUGAGAAUCUAUUCCUUAUUUAUGGAUCAUCCUUCUUAUCAGUAUCUAGGAAAGCAAUUGAUUUUUUUUUUUGACAGAUACUUUUUUUAUUAAUUCAAAUUCAAAUUUGUUAAGUGACAAGUUAACUAUACUUCAAAAUUUGGCAGAAAUACAUCGAGACAAAUAAAAAAUUGGUGAGGGAUUCUUUAUUUAUAAGAAGUAGCAAAACUGAUUUAGAGCUUAUGUCCUGAAAUUAUCUUUUGUGAUCUGUCUCAUCUUAUAACAUAAUGGUCAAGCUCGCAAGGUUUUUCACCGUUGGGGUAUUUGUGUCACCGUAGGCUUAUACAAGAUUUUUUAUAAUAUUAAUCUUAUGGAAAAAUAUAUAUAUAUAUAUAUAUAUAUAUAUAUGUAUCUAUUUUUUUACAAUAAGGAAAGAAAUCGACUUUUUUGCUUGAAAUAGAAAGUGUAACAAAAUAGACUGAUGAUAUACGAAAAUGUCAAUAUUAUGAAAAACUCUAAACUGAUACAUUUGUGACAAAUUUAUUUCUAUCUAAUUAUUUGACUACAAAAAACUCCAAACCGGUACACUUGUGACAAAUUUACCUAAAAUUAUUAUUUUAUUUUUUGUAAAGGGUAAGAAACCUAAAAUUAAUUUUUUGACCAUGAAAACAUUUAAAUUGGUACACCUAAAAUAAAUUUACCAAAAACUAAUUUGUUUGACCACCAAAAACCUCAAAGUGAUAUACCCCUAACAAAUUUACCCAAACUAAUUUUUUGACCACUAAAAAACCCCAAAGUGGUAUAUUUAGACAAAUUUCUUCUAUGUUAGCUUCUGUUAAACUGGAUUAACACCAUGAAAAACCGCAAACUAAAACAAACAGGGGGUAAAAUCCCAAACUAAUAUUUCUUUUCAAAUGUCACUUAUCAUCUAACUUAGUACUUUAACAGUAAAAUUUAAAAUAAAAUAAUGGAGGGUAAAUUUGUUAUAAGUAUAUUAGUUAUGGUUUUAGUUUGGGAUAAAUUUAUUACAUGUGUACUAGUUUGGGGUUUUUGGUGAUCAAAAAUUUAAUUAAGGAUAAAUUUAUCAUAAGUGUAUCAGUUUAGUGUUUUUAAUGUACCAGUUUGGAGUUUCUAUUUUUGAGAAUAGGAAAAUAGCAACAAAAAAAAAAGAUCUAUCAAUAAAAUUGACUAUAUCAUAUACAAUAUAUUAUGUGAUAGGGAACAUGUACAUAUUAAUUAACACCUGUCAAUCUUUAAUAUAUAGCGUAUAAUUACUUUGGUUCAAUCCAAUAUGAAUUGCAGUGAAUAUUUUUUUUUUUUUACUUAAUUAAAGAAUGAUGAUUGGUUGGAAAAUGACAAAAUAGUUGUGUCAAUUUUAGGAAAUAUAUAUAUAACCCAUGAUGAAUUCAUUUUAAGUAUACAUAUAAGACAAACAAACCUCUAUUGUCAUGAAGGGUUGAUACCUUGAAAAAUCUCAAACUAGUACACAUGUGAUAAAUUUAUCUUAAACUAAUUUUUUGACCAUGAAAAACCUCAAAUUGGUACACUCGUGAUAAAUUUACCUCGACUAAUCAUAAAAAAAAAUCUCAAACUAGUACAUUUGUGACAAAUUUAUCCCAAACUAAUUUAUUUGAUCGCCAAAAAACCCAAAUCGGUACAUUUUUGACAAAUAUACCCUCCAUUAAAUUAGAUUAAUAUCACAAAAAAUCACAAAAAUUGUAUUACGGUAACAAAUGGAGAAUAAAAUAUCAAAUUGGUACAUCAGUAAAUUGCCGCAUGUCAUUCAAUUUAGUAAUUUGAUAGUAAAAUUUAACGGAAACAAAUAGACAAUAAAUUUAUUACAAAAAAUUAGUUUUGGGUAAAUUUGUCAAGAGUGUAUCAGUUUGGGAUUUUUCAGGAUAUUAACCCAAUAAUGAAUGACGCAUUUUAUUUUUCUUGAUUUUUUCUUUGAUUAUUUGAAUUUCAUAAGUAUUGUCAUUACUAGAACUCAUAUAAAUUACAUUUUCAUAUUAGUUAUAUGUGAAACAAGAUAAGGAGUUUCAGCAAACAUGAGUUUCAACAAAUUUAGAAAUAUAGAACUCAUGUGAAGCAUGCUCGAGUGCACUAGGUAUUUAAGAAAGAGUAAUUAUAGCAACUCCGUCGGAUGUAAUAGUUUAGUUACUCAAGAUAUCACAAAUUGUCCCACAAAUAAGUUUCAUAAUUGUCCCACAAAUAUGUUCCAUAAUUCAUAUAACACUAUCAUACAAAAUAUACUGUUCCGAGGCAUGCUCAGACCAUCAAAGUAGACGUAAUAAAAUAUUAAAUCACAGCAUGUUGCAUCACGACUCCAAAUUCACAUCACAACGGUUCAAGGAUUAGUAGCAGCCGCAGGCAUGUCCUUCGCAACGAAAGGCAAAGUUGGCUUAGGGAAAUCGGGGAGAUGAGGCAAUUCGGGCACUUCCGGCAAUUCCGGCUUCGGUAUUGUUGGUAAUUCAGGCUUUGGCAGUUCCGGAAGUGGCGGCAAUUCAACUUUUGGCAGUGAUGGCAAUUCUGGCUUUGGCAGGCUUGGGAUGUCGGGAAGGUGUGGCAAUCCGGGCUUCGGCAGUUCGGGCACCUCGGGCAACGUCUCCUCCAAAAUUCGGCUAGCUCCAACCGAGUUCUCGCCGGUCAUCAAGGACAAAGCAAAGACAAACAAUGCCAAAAGAUGCACAAGUCCGCGAUAGUUCGCCAUCGCAGGACCGAUCGACAAGCAAAUUUAAAAACUUCAAGUGAAGAAUCGAUGGAUCUCAAAUGAGGAGGUGCAGGUGUGCUUGAGCAAUGGCUUGAUGGAGGGUUUAUAAAGAGGAGGGACGUGGGGAUUAGGGAGAUUACAAGUAUGGUUUGGUGGGACUUUGUCGAAGUGUUAGUUCAACUUCUAGACCAAUCUCAUUUUCGUAUGUUCAACAACAACAUGGAGCAGAUAAUUCCAGAAAGGACCUUGCCAAUUAUUGGCUUUCAACGCUUGUAACCAUCAGUCGUGCUGGUAUUAUAGCUUUUGUUUUGGUUUUCCUAUAAAUCGUUAAUUGGUAACCGUACUACAAUCAUGAACUACGAUCAUUGUAAAUGAUAUCCUAAAAAUGACCAUCCCGAUACACGCACAUAUAUAUAGCUGAUUUACAUAUGAAAUUAAAAACUGAGACUAGGUAAAACUAUCUAACGUCUUGAAAUAUCUUUUCCGCAAUUCAUCUCAUGUGAUGGAAUGAUAGCCAAGCUUGCAAGGUUUUUCAAUUAUUUGAUAAAUUUAAGACUAUGUUCUUUGACUAGUAGUACACGUGAUUGAUGAACGAAUAAAAGAUCAUCAAAUAUUUGAUAACCAACGCAAUACUACCAUAGAAGUCUCAAAACAUAUCUCAAAUAUGAUGUAAUCGUAUGCUUUUAUGGAGCAGAAUAUAAAGUAUAUAUGUAUCUAUUACGGACCAGUUUGAAAUUGGUCUACUAUAUUAUAAUGACAUUCGAAAAUUAAAUGAAAAACUACUUUUCUUACCGAAAUUGAAUCUUGAGAAUUUUUCAAGGAAACUAAAAAUAUAAAGAAAAUACUCAAAAAAUUCUUAACCGGAAUACAUAUGUGAAAAGUAAGUCCAUUCAAUUUAACGAGAAAGACUCUUUUCUUUUCCAAAUAGAUUGAUAAGACUUUUUGCGGAAAAUAACAAUUUAAAGGAAAGUAUCUUAAGUCUCAAUCUAAAUAUAUUUAGGUGAUACUGUGUAGUAUUACAUAUAGAAAGAAGUCUUUUUAUUUUUUUCAAGGAAAUUUUGAGAGAGAAGAUUAUUAAAGAUUAACAUGUAUAUCAAAUAUUAUAUAAUGUAAUAAGUAUUGAAAUUAACUUCAUGGGAAUGAGAAAAUGUUUUGAUUAUUAAUUUAAGUAAAAUUGACUCUAUGAGACUCGAUAUGUGAUGUGGUAUAAAAAAGAAAAAAAAUGUAAAUAUAUCUAUAUUUGAGAGAGAGAGAGAGAGAGAGAUAAACUUUUCACUCGAAUUAGAAGUUGGAGCUAAAUAGAUUGACAUUAGGCGAAACAAUAUAUCAAGAAUAGAAAAAAAAAAUGAUCUAUAACGGCAAAGUUGUCUAUACAAUACAAUGUAUGCCAUGUUAUAGAAAACAUCGAUAAUAUUUAACAUAUAUCGAUACUAUAACAUAGAGCUUAAAAUUACUUCAAUUCAAUUCAAUACAAAAUGAAAUAAAAACAAACAUCAGAGUUGAUAUUACUUAAUUGAAGAAUGAUGAUUGCUUGAAACAUGAAAAAAUAGUUGUGUCAAAUUAAAAGGGAAAAUACUCUAUGAUAAAUUCAAGGGAAAAUUCCAAAAAGGUACCCGAAAUACCCUAUUUUUUUCAAAUAAGAGCCUAAAGUGAAUCUUAUUUCAAAUAAGGACUGAAGUGCAUUUGUUUUCUCAAAUAAGGGUUUAAAGUGGAUGUUAUUUCAAAUGAGGACCUAAAGUAAUUAUGUUUAUUUCAAAUAAGAGCAUGAAGUGGCUAUAUCCGUUUGAAAUAAGAACCCGUCUUUCUAGCGAUCAAUGGUAUUUUCGUCAUUUGUCAUUUGUCCAUUUUUUUUUUUUUUUUUUCCAUUUUUUUGACUAGCUCUUGUUCCUCUUCGCCAAUGGCCAGCCGGCCAUUGGCAAUGCCCACAAAGGGCUGAGCAAGAGAGUGAGGGUCACCACACUCAAGCAAGGCUGUCCGUCACUUGUGGGCAGGGUGGGUGGCCCUUGCUGGUGGGGGCGACCCUCGCUUAGCCCUUUGUGGGCAUCACUGGCAAAAAGGAAGAAGAAUAACCAAAAGAAAAAAAGGAAAGAAAAAAAAAGUGAAAUGCAAAAUGACAAAAAUACCCUUGGCUGGUUGGAAAAUUUAGCCACUCAGCGAUCGGCGAGAUCAGGUCUUUAUUUGAAACAACCAAAGCCACUUCAGGCCCUUAUUUGAAACAACUAAGGCUACUUUAGGUUCUUAUUUGAAACAAAAUCCAUUCCGGGCCCUCAUUUGAGAAAACAAUAACACUUCGGGUCUUUUUUUGAAAUUUUCCCUAAAUUCAAUUGAAGUAAAUAAGAUGUUCAAUAAGUGGAUUUAUAAUUUAUAUGUAAGAUAAAUGAACCUAUAUCACUCGAUCCUAUAACAAACAUGUAAUUUUGCUUAUUUUUCCUUCAAAUAUUUAAAUUCUAUGAUAAGUUAAAUGUGUAUAAAGUAGAUAAUGAGUUUUAAUAAAUAUAAAUUUGAUAUAUUUUGAAAUAUAAAACACAUGAAGCAUCAGAAAGUGUACUAGUUGUUUAAGAAAGAGUAACUAUAGCAUACUCCGUCGGUGUAAAAGAAGAGUUACACAAGAUAUCAUAAACUAUCAUACGAAUAAGUUCCAUAAUUCAUAUCACAAACUGUCAUACAAACGACUAUAUAUGGCAUAUAACAUUCUGAGGUGAACACUGACCAUUACAAUAGAAGUAAUAGAAUACUAAUUCAUAUCAUAUCGAAUCCCGACUACAAGUUCACAUCACAACGGUUCAAGGACUAGUAGCAGCGAUAGACGUGUCCUUCGAAACGGCAGGCAAUGUUGGCUUAGGGAAAUCGGGAAGGUGAGGCAAUUCAGGCACUUCUGGCUUUGGUAAAGUUGGAAAUUCAAGCUUUGGAAGUUUGGGCACUUCCGGCAAUUCUGGCUUCGGUAUUGUUGGAAAUUCAGGCUUUGGCAGCUCGGGAAGUGGCGGCAAUUCGACUUUUGGCAGAGAUGGCAGUUCUGGUUUUGGCAGGCUUGGGAUAUCGGGAAGCUGAGGCAAUUCUGGCUUCGGCAGUUCAGGCACUUCAGGCAACGUCGCGUCCAAAAGUUGGCGAGCUCCAACGCGGUUCUGGCCGAUUGUCAAAGACAGAGCAAGGACAAACAAUGACAAAAGAUUAGUGAGUCUGCAAUAGUUCGCCAUCGUGGAAUUGAGCGACUAGCAAACCGAAAAACUUUGAGUGAAGAAGCGGUGUGUUUGAGCAAUGGCUUGAUGGAGGGUUUUUAAAGAGGAGGGACGUGGGGAUUGGGGAGAUUACAAGUAUGUUUUGGUGGGAAAAAUAAUCUAAGUGUUGGUUCAACUUCUAAACCAAUCUCAUUUUCUUUUGUUCAACAACAAGAUGGAGAAGACUCCAAAAAGUUAUCUUGCCACUUCUGGGCUUUCUAAGUCUGUAACUAUCAGCUGUGCUAGAUUUCUCAGCUACGCGGGAAAAAGAAACGAAAGGAGAUGGUUCAUGAUUUCACUCUAUGUACAAUAGUAGGACGAAGUCCGGAGUUUUGGUUGAAGAAGUCAAUAAUUUAAGGAUAAAAAUCUAAGUUUUGUUAGCGAUCAUUGUACAUGAAAUGCAUACUCAUCUAAAACUUGUCUAAAUUUAUUAAGUGCAUUUAAUAAAUUCAUUAACCUUCUCUUAAGUUUUCCGUUCCCUUUCUCUAUUAUAUCCAUUCACGUGCACUCAAUACUUUUCAAUUUCAAUUUUUAUGUAUCCAUUUGCAUGCUAGAGUUAAGGACGAUGGUCACUUACAUUCAAUUUGUUUGUUUUUUUUUUUUUUUGGGGGUAUGCCUGGCCUUUUUUUCACCUAUAAGAGGGUAGAAUAUUUGUUAUUCUGGUCUUUAUGUGCAUUUCAUCUCCUUUUUUUCUCCUCAGAAAUGGGUCUUAGUUGCAAAAUUAAUUCAUCAGAAAUCGAUUUUUCUUUUUCCAAUUUGAUCUUGACUUGCUAUUGAAUGGAUAAUCGGUUAUCAUCACUCCCAAUUAGAUUAGAAAUAUGACUACAUCUCAAUAUAUCAAUUUACAUCCGAACUGUAAAAAAUGAGACUCGGCAAUAAUCUAUUUCUUAUGUAUGGAUCAUCUUUCUUACCGGUAUCUCGAAAAGCAAAUGAUUUUUUUUUUUGGCAUAAACAUUUUUGUUGAGUGUCUUAAAAAAUUAACUACAUUUAAAAAUGCAAAAAUACAAAGAGAUAAGAGGAAUGGUGAGGGAUUUUGAUUUCACAUGAAUUAGCAAAAACGAUUGAGAAUUUAUGAGCUGAAACUUAUUGAGAACUUAUGGGCUAAAACUUUCUUCUAUGCAAUCCAUCUUAAAUGACAAUAUAAUAGCCAACCUGGCAAGGCUUUUUUUUCUUUUUUAAACUAUUUAUGAAUUUUAUAUUAUGCUUUCCAGAUAGUAGUGUACGUAAUUGAUGAACAAACAAAAGAUCAAAAAAAUAUUUAAUAACCGACUUAAUACUACCAUAGAAGUUUCAACACAUAUCACAAAUAUGAUAUAACCAUAUUCUUGCAUGUGGUAGCUUAUUAACUAUAAAUGUAUCUAUAACACACGGGUUUGAAAACUAGUCUAAUAUAUAAUAGGGGCUUCUGAACAUUAAAUGCAUUCAAUUUAAUGAGAAACAUUCUUUUCUUAUCCAAAAUGAAGUUUUAGAUUUUUUUUUUCCCUUGACAUAGAAUUAGUCGCAGAAAAGAGUGGGAAUAUGCGAAACAAGAUCCAAGAAUAGAAAAAAAAAUGAUUUAAUAACAGUAAAGUUGACUAUGAUCUGCAUAAUAUAUUAUUUGAUAGAAAAAGUACAUAAUGACUAACAUGCAUCAACACCAUAACAUAUAGCGAAAUAUUACUUUGGUUUAAUCAGAUACAAAAUUUAGUAAAGUACAAAUAUUAGAGUUGAUUUUGCUUGACCAAAGAAUGACGAUUGCUUAAAAAUGACAAUAUUUGUGCCAAAUUAAAAGGAAAAAUAAUCUACGGUAGUUCAAUUUUAAUAAAGUAUGAUAUAUAAGAUGUUUGAUGACUUAAAGUGUAUUUAUAAUUUGUAUGUAAGACAAGUGUACCUAUCUCAAUCCAUCAUACAAUAAAAGACGCAUUUUUCUGAUUUUUUCUUCAAUUGUUUAGAUUAUGUCACCGUUAUCACUCUAAAAUUUUAAAUUCCCAUAUUAGUUAGAAGUGAAAAAAGUGGACAAGGAAGUAACAUAGAUUUCUUCUAUUUUGAAAUAUUAAACUCGUACAGAACAUAAGGGAGUGCACUAGCUAUAUUAAAAAGAGUAAUAAUAGUAUACACUAUCGAUGUAAAAAGAUAGUUACACAAAACAUCACAAACUGUGAAGGAGUUCCAUAAUUCAUAUCACUAAAACAAGUAUUGUAUAGUGUUCUGAGGUAUGCUCAGACCAUUAAAAUAGAAGUAAUAAAAAACUGAAUCGCAUCAUGUUGUAUAACGACUCCAAAUUCACAUUAAUGGCUCAAGGGCUAGUAGCAGCGACGGCUGUGUCCUUGGGAAUCGUGGGAACGAAAGGCAAUGUUGGCUUGGGAAAAUCAGGAAGAUGAGUCACUUCGGGCACUACCGGCAAUUCCGGCUUUGGUAUUGUUGGAAAUUCGGGCUUUGGUAGCUCAGGAAGCGGCGGCAAUUCGACUUUCGGCAGUGACGGGAAUUCUGUCUUUGGCAAGCUAGGGAUGUCAGGAAGUUGAGGUAAUUCGGGCUUCGGCAAUUCCGGCACUUCUAAGGACUCCGGCUUCGGUGUUGCUGGAAAUUCAGGCUUUGGUAGUUCAGGAAGCGGUGGCAAUUCGACUUUCGGCAAUGAUGGGAAUUCUGGCUUUGGCAAGCUAGGGAUGUCAGGAAGGUGAGGCAAUUCAGGCUUCGGUAGUUCGGGCACUUCGGGCAAGGUCGCCUCCAAAAGUCGGCGGGCUCCAACUGGCUUCUCACCAAUCAUCAAAGACAGAGCGAGGACAAACAAUGCCAAAAGGUGCGCGAGUCCAUGAUGGUUCGUCAUUGGAGAAUCAAUCGACUAGCAAAUUCAAAAGCUUUGAGUGAAGAAGCGGCGAAUCUCGAGUGAGAGAAGGUGCAGGUGUGCUUGAGCAAUGGCUUGAUGGAGGGCUUAUAAGGAGGAGGGACGUGGAGGAUUGGGGAGAAUGCAAGUAUGGUUUGGUGGGAAUAUUAUCAAAGGGUUAGGUCAACUUCUAAACCAAUCUCAUUUUUGUACGUUCAACAGCAAGAUAGAGCAUAUUAUUCCAAAAGGAGCUUGCCAAUUCUUGGCUUUUCAGGCUUCUGACUACCUGUUGAGGUGAGAAAGAGGGAGAGAAAAGAAAAGAAAAGAAAUGGUUUAUGAUCUCACUAUGUACAACAGGACUGGAGUCUUGGAGUCUUAAAAUAUUGGAGAAGCCAAUAAUGUAAGAGCAAAAUAAUAAAUAUUGUCAGUGAUCAUUAUUCAUGGAAUCUUUACUUGAUGCAAGGAUUACUCAAGUUUUAAGCAUGUAUGUUUUCUUUUGAGGCCUUGGUUCAAAUCCCUACAAUUGUGCAUUAUUUUCGAUGAUCUUUGAGAACAUAGGCAUGUAUGAAUCCGAUUAUCUCUCUAAUUGUGUGGGAUAAAACUACUCUUGCUGGAAAAAACAAAACUUUAGGUGACAACUUUUUGGGGACAGACAUAAAAGGAGAUCCUUAAAUAGAGUUUCUAGUUAGGGGUGAGUAGUUCUAAGGAUGGUUUAGGUUUCAACUUUCUUGGAACUUGAAAUUUACCUUAUUAAGACCGGUUUCCCAGUUUUUGAAACUUAAAACCUAUCAUGUAUAUCUUAAAAUUUGUGACCUGCUCUAUCAAUCGAAUCCAAAGUCUAUUAAGGAACCGGCUGAUUUCUCUUUUCUUUUCUUUUUCUUUUUUUUUUCUUGUUUCAUUUUAGUCAGCAAUAGAGAGAACAUAACAACAAAAAUCAUCAUUUGUCAAUAACAAUGAUCUAUAAAAUAUUAGCACCUAAAAUAAAAUAAACAAUAAAAAGUUGAAAACGCAUAAUGUAGAAUCCAAAUUUCAUGCUCUCAAAGGAGUCAAGAACCAUGAUAAAAACCAAGGAUUCGAAUGAAGGAACCUUUUUUUUCAUUUGAGCCUCGUGUAAUACCGUUCAUGUCAUGCUCUAUUUUAGGAUUACCUUGGUUCUUGUUCUAGUUCUUUGAUUUUCAGUCUGAUUCGUCGAUUCUUAGUUCAAUUCUAUUCAAUUCUUAAGAAUCGCAUAGAACAAGUUCCAAAAAAUGUGAAACCGAAAUUUGGAGCAUGCCCUUUAGAACCUAGAGACAGGUCGAUUCCCAUGACCUGUUUGGUCUUUCUUGAUUAUACUUGGGAAAUUUGCUCACCCCCAACUUCUUGUUCCGUCCCUACGGAAAUAUUGAAUGAGCCGUCGUUAAUGGUAAUAGUGUAAAUGAUUUAGUUUGGUUCGGUUUUUUGGGAAAACGGAACCAAACCGAACCGAUAAAGAAAUUUAUUGAAUCAAACUGAAAUUCCAUCCAAAUCGAAACCGAAUCGUCAAUGACAAAGCAAGGACAAAUAAUGCCAAAAGAUGCGAGAGCCCGCAGUAGUUCGCCAUCGUAGAACCAAUAUACUAGCAAAUUGAAAAACUUCGAGUGAAGAAGUGGAGGAUGUCAAGUGUAAAGGUGCAGGUGUGUUCGAGCAAUGGCUUGAUGGAGGGUUUUUAAAGAGGGACAUGGGGAUUGGGGAGAUUGCAAGUAUGUUUUGGAGGGAAAAUUAUCGAAGUGUUCGUUGAACUUCCAAACCAAUCUCAAUCUCUUUUGUUCAACAACAAGAUGGAGCCGAUAAUUCCAAAAAGGAUCUUUAUAUUCUUGGCAUUUUUAAGCUUGUAACUGCGAGUUGUGUUGGACUUCCUAGCUAGGAGGGAAAGACAAAAGAAAGGAAAUGAUUUAUGAUCUCACUCUAUGUACAAGAGGACGAAGUCCAUAGCUUUGGUCAGAGAAGUCAACAAUGUUGAGAGUAAAAUCUAAGUUUUGCCAAUGAUAAUUAUACACGAAAAGUAUUCUUGAUGUAAGGAUUGCUUAAGUGGUAGGCAUAUUCCUUCUCUUUCUCUGAUAAUUUCAUAAACCUAUGUAUCUGGUAAUUUCUUGAUAUGCGUGGGACAAGGCGGCAGCCACUGUUAAGGCUACCAUUUUGGGCCUCAAUAGAGAAGCUUAUGGUCAAGUUGAGGGUAAGGCCACCACCUUCGGAGGGAGUUGGUGGCGUACAAGCCGACUUCGGAGGAGAUGCUAAUUGCUUCCUGAAAAAGUGAGGGUUUAAGAUCCAUGAAAUUGCGAAGUUAAGAAGGAGAAGACUAAGUGGUAAAGAGAUUGAAGAACUGCCACCCUCGGAUGAAACUAAUGAUCGAAUGAAACAAUUCAAUUGGGUAAGCGUAGGACUCUGAGUCGAGAGCACCAAAGACAUCAAUCAAUUGGAUGGGGGAGAAUAUCAUGGACCGGAGGUUCUCAAGGUGCAAUAGGCUGAGGCGGUGGCCAUGUGACCGGGGGUGCCUUAGAUUUAGAGAAGCCUUGUCAUUAAUGGAGGUAUGUGGUAAAUGAAGAGAUAUAUAACUUUUUGUAUAUCUCCACUUUUUUCAUCCUAGGAAAAAUAGGUAUUCAUUACUCUGGUCUUUAUGUGUAUUUAAUUCUCUCUUUUCCUCUUCCCCUCAAAAAGGGCGGUCCUAGGGGCGCAAUCAAUUCGGGAGAAAUUAGUUUUUCUUUUCUUUAUUUGAUCUUGACCUGCAGUUGGAUGAAUAUUUGGUUAUUAUCCUUCUAAAUAAUAUGCUGAAUAUUACUAUAUCUCAAUAAAUAUAAACGCUGAUUCACAAUGAAAAAAAAUAAGAAUUGGUGAUCAUCUAUUCCUUAUGUAUGGAUCAUCCUUCUUAUCAGUAUCUAGGAAAGCAAUUGUUUUUUUUUUCUGGCAGAUAAUUUUUUUAUUAAUUCAAAUUCAUAUAUAUAUAUAUAUAUAUAUAUAUAUAUAUAUAUAUAUAUUUUGAGCAAGUCAAAUUCAUAUCUGUUAAGUGACAGCAAAAGUUAACUAUACUUCAAACAGAAAUACAUCGAGCCAAACGAAAAAUUGGUGAGGGAUUCUUUAUUUAUAAGAAGUAGCAAAACUGAUUUAGAUCUUAUGUCCUGAAAUUAUCUUUUGUGAUCCGUCUCAUCUUAUAACAUAAUGUUCAAGCUCGCAAGGUUUUUCACAGUUCGGGUAUUGGUGUCCCCGUAGGCUUAUACAAGGUUUUUUUUUGUAAUAGUAAGCUUAUGGAAAUAUAUAUAUAUAUAUAUAUAUAUAUAUAUAUAUGUAACUAUAUUUGUACAAUAAGGAGAGAAAUUGACUUUUUCGCUUGAAAUAGAAAGUGUAACAGAAUAGACUAACAAUAUGCGAACUGGUCAAUAUCAUGAAAAACUAUAAACUGAUACAUUUGUGAUAAGUUUACUUCUAUCUAAUUAUUUGGCCACAAAAAACUCCAACCAAUACACUUAUGACAAAUUUACCUAAAAUUAAUAUUUUGACCAUGAAAACAUUUAAAUUGGUACACCUAAAAUAAAUUUACCAAAAACUAAUUUUUUGACCACUAAAAAUCUCAAAUUGAUAUACACCUAACAAAUUUACCCAAACUAGUUUUUUGACCACUAAAAAACCCCAAAGUGGUAUAUAUAAGGCAAAUUUCUUCUAUAUUAGCUUUUCUUAAACUGGAUUAACACCAUGACAAACCACAAACUAAAACAGACCGGGGGGGGGGGGUAAUAUCCCAAACUAAUAUUUUUUUCAACCAUCACGUAUCAUCUAACUUAGUAAUUUAAUAGUGAAAUUUAAAAUAAAAUAAUGGAUGGUAAAUUUGUUAUAAGUAUAUUAGUUAUGGUUUUAGUUUGGGAUAAAUUUAUCACAUGUGUACUAGUUUGGGGUUUUUAGUGAUAAAAAAAUUAGUUAAGGAUAAAUUUAUCAAAAGUGUAUCAGUUUAGUGUUUUUAAUGUACCCGUUUGGAGUUUCUAUUCUUGAGAAUAGGAAAAUAGAAAAAAAAAGAAAGAUCUAUCAAUAAAAUUGACUAUACCAUAUACAAUAUAUUAUGUGAUAGGGAACACGUAUAUAUUAAUUAACACUCGUCAAUACUUUAAUAUAUAGCGUAUAAUUACUUUGGUUCAAUCCAAUAUGAAUUGCAGUGAAUAAUUUUUUUUAUUUAUUACCUAAUUAAAGAAUGAUGAUUGGUUGGAAAACGACAACAUAGUCAUGUCAAUUUUAGAAAUAUAUAUAACUCAUGAUGAAUUCAUUUUAAGUAUACAUAUAAGACAAACGAACCUCCAUUGUUACGAACGGUUGAUAUAUUGAAAAAUCUCAAACUAGUACACAUGUGAUAAAUUUAUCUUAAACUAAUUUUUUGACCAUGAAAAACCCCAAAUUGGUACACCCGUGAUAAAUUUACCCCGACUGAUCAUAAAAAAAAAAAAAAUCUCAAAUUAGUACAUUUGUAAUAGAUUUAUCCCAAACUAAUUUAUUCGAUCGCCAAAAAACCCAAAUCGGUACAUUUGUGACAAAUAUACCCUCUAUUAAGUUAGAUUAAUAUCAUAAAAAAAUCACAAAAAUUGUAUGAUGGUAACAAAUGGAGAAUAAAAUCUCAAAUUGGUAUACCAGUAAAUUGCCGCAUGUCAUUCAAUUUAGUAAUUUGAUAGUAAAAUUUAACGGAAACAAAUAGAGAGUAAAUUUAUCACAAAUAUACUAGAUUUGGGUAUAUUUGUUAAAGGUAUACCGGUUUAGGAUUUUUGCUAAAAAAAUUAGUUUGUGGUAAAUUUGUUACGACUGUACCAGUUUGGGGUUUUUCAAGAUAUUAACCCAAUAAUGAAUGACGCAUUUUAUUUUUCUUGAUUUUUUCUUUGAUUAUUUGAAUUUCAUAAGUAUUGUCAUUACUAGAACUCAUAUAAAUUAAAUUUUCAUAUUAGUUAUAUGUGAAACAAGAUAAGGAGUUUCAGCAAACAUGAGUUUCAACAAAUUUGGAAAUAUAGAACUCAUGUGAAGCAUGCUCGAGUGCACUAGGUAUUUAAGAAAGAGUAAUUAUAGCAACUCCGUCGGAUGUAAUAGUUAAGUUACUCAAGAUAUCACAAAUUGUCCCACAAAUAAGUUUCAUAAUUGUCCCACAAAUAUGUUCCAUAAUUCAUAUAACACUAUCAUACAAAAUAUACUGUUCCGAGGCAUGCUCAGACCAUCAAAGUAGACGUAAUAAAAUAUUAAAUAACAGCAUGUUGCAUCACGACUCCAAAUUCACAUCACAACGGUUCAAGGAUUAGUAGCAGCCGCAGGCAUGUCCUUCGCAACGAAAGGCAAAGUUGGCUUAGGGAAAUCGGGGAGAUGAGGCAAUUCGGGCACUUCCGGCAAUUCCGGCUUCGGUAUUGUUGGUAAUUCAGGCUUUGGCAGUUCCGGAAGUGGCGGCAAUUCAACUUUUGGCAGUGAUGGCAAUUCUGGCUUUGGCAGGCUUGGGAUGUCGGGAAGGUGUGGCAAUCCGGGCUUCGGCAGUUCGGGCACCUCGGGCAACGUCUCCUCCAAAAUUCGGCUAGCUCCAACCGAGUUCUCGCCGGUCAUCAAGGACAAAGCAAAGACAAACAAUGCCAAAAGAUGCACAAGUCCGCGAUAGUUCGCCAUCGCAGGACCGAUCGACAAGCAAAUUUAAAAACUUCAAGUGAAGAAGCGAUGGAUCUCAAAUGAGGAGGUGCAGGUGUGCUUGAGCAAUGGCUUGAUGGAGGGUUUAUAAAGAGGAGGGACGUGGGGAUUAGGGAGAUUACAAGUAUGGUUUGGUGGGAUUUUGUCGAAGUGUUAGUUCAACUUCUAGACCAAUCUCAUUUUCGUAUGUUCAACAACAACAUGGAGCAGAUAAUUCCAGAAAGGACCUUGCCAAUUAUUGGCUUUCAACGCUUGUAACCAUCAGUCGUGCUGGUAUUAUAUAGCUUUUUGUUUUGGUUUUCCUAUAAAUCGUUAAUUGGUAACCGUACUACAAUCAUGAACUACGAUCAUUGUAAAUGAUAUCCUAAAAAUGACCAUCCCGAUACAUGCACAUAUAUAUAGCUGAUUUACAUAUGAAAUUAAAAACUGAGACUAGGUAAAACUAUCUAACGUCUUGAAAUAUCUUUUCCGCAAUCCAUCUCAUGUGAUGGAAUGAUAGCCAAGCUUGCAAGGUUUUUCAAUUAUUUGAUAAAUUUUAGACUAUGUUCUUUGACUAGUAGUACACGUGAUUGAUGAACGAAUUAAAGAUCAACAAAUAUUUGAUAACCAACGCAAUACUACCAUAGAAGUCUCAAAACAUAUCUCAAAUAUGAUGUAAUCGUGUGCUUUUAUGGAGCAGAAUACAAAGUACAUAUGUAUCUAUUACGGACCGGUUUGAAAUUGGUCUACUAUAUUAUAAUGACAUUCGAAAAUUAAAUGAAAAACUUCUUUUCUUACCAAAAUUGAAUCUUGAGAAUUUUUCAAGGAAAGUAAAAAUAUCAAGAAAGAACUCAAAAAAUUCGUAACCGGAAUACAUUUUGCGAAAAAUAAGUCCAUUCAAUUUAACGAGAAAUACUCUUUUUUUCCAAAUAGAUUGAUAAAAAUUUUCUCGGAAAGUAACAAUUUAAAGGAAAGUAUCUUAAGUCUCAAUCUAAAUAUAUUUAGGUGAUUUUGUGUAGCAUUAUGUUUAGACAGAAGUCUUUUUAUUUUUUUCAAGGAAAUUUUGAGAGAGAAGAGUAUUAAAGAUUAACAUGUAUAUCAAAUACUAUUUAAUGUAAUUAUGAAUGAGAAAAAUGUUUAUGAUUAUUAAUUUAAGUAAAAUUGACUAUAUGAGCAUGAUAUAUGAUGUGAUAUAAAAAAAAAGUGUAAAUAUAUCUAUAUUUGAGAGAGAGAGAGAGAGAGAGAGAGAGAGAGAGAGAGAGAGAGAGAGAGAGAGAGAAGUUGCAGCUAAAUAGAUUGACAUUAUGCGAUAUCAAGAAUAGAAAAAAUUGAUCUAUAACGGUUAAGUUGUCUAUACAAUACAAUGUAUGCCAUGUUAUAGAAAACAUCAAUAAUAUUUAACAUAUAUCGAUACUAUAACAUAGAGCUUAAAAUUACUUCAAUUCAAUUCAAUACAAAAUGAAAUAAAAACAAACAUCAGAGUUAAUAUUACUUAAUUGAAGAAUGAUGAUUGCUUGAAACAUGAAAAAAUAGUUGUGUCAAAUUAAAAGGGAAGAUACUCUAUGAUAAAUUCAAUUUUAGUAAAUAAGAUGUUCAAUAAGUGGAUUUAUAACUUAUAUGUAAGAUAAAUGAACCUAUAUCACUUGAUCAUAUAACAAACAUGUAAUUUUGCUGAUUUUUUCUUCGAAUAUUUAAAUUCUAUGAUAAGUUAAAUGUGUAUAAAGUAGAUACUGAGUUUUAGUAAACAUAAAUUUGAUAUAUUUUGAAAUAUAAAACACAUGAAGCAUAAGAAAGUCUACUAGUUGUUUAAGAAAGAGUAACUAUAGCAUACUCUAUCGGCAUAAAAGAAGAGUUACACAAGAUAUCAUAAACUAUCAUACCAAUAAGUUCCAUAAUUCAUAUCACAAACUAUCACAUAAACAACUAUAAAUGGCAUAUAACAUUCUGAGGUGAAUAUUGACCAUUACAAUAGAAGUAAUAGAAUACAAAUUCAUAUCAUAUCGAAUCCCGACUACAAGUUCACAUCACAACGGUUCAAGGACUAGUAGCAGCAACAGACAUGUCCUUCGGAAUGGAAGGCAAUGUUGGCUUAGGGAAAUCAGGAAGGUGAGGCAAUUCGGGCACUUCCUGCAAUUCUGGCUUUGGUAAAGUUGGAAAUUCAAGCUUUGAAAGUUCGGGUACUUCCGACAAUUCUGGCUUCGGUAUUGUUGGAAAUUCAGGCUUUGGCAGUUUGGGAAGUGGUGGCAAUUCGACUUUUGGCAGCGAUGGCAGUUCUGGUUUUGGCAAGCUUGGGAUGUCGGGAAGCUGAGGCAAUUCUGGCUUCAACAGUUCAGGCACUUCAGGCAACGUCGUGUCCAAAAGUUGGUGAGCUUCAACGUGGUUCUGGCCGAUUGUCAAAGACAGAGCAAGGACAAACAAUGCCAAAAGAUUAGUGAGUCUGCAAUAGUUCACCAUCGGGGAAUCAAGCGACUAGCAAACCGAUAAACUUUGAGUGAAGAAUCGGUGUGUUUGAGCAAUGGCUUGAUGGAGGGUUUUUAAAGAGGAGGGACCUAAGUAGCACCGACAUGGGACACGAUAUGACACAACACGUCGACAUGUCAUUUCUAAAAAAUAGAGAAAUUUGAUACGUUGCAAUACGUUAUAUAUUAAACGAAUAUUUUUAUUUUUAAUUAAUUUAAUUCAAAUUCAUAAAUAAAUAAAUAAAGAACCUAUAAUGAAUUUACACUAAUAAUAUUAAUAAAUCAAUUCAUUAGAAAUUCGAAAGCUAUAUUCAUAGUUAAUGCGAAAUAUGUUUUUAACUUUAACAAAAGUUAUUGAUGAAAUUAAUGACUAAUAAGAAAUUAGAAUCAAUUUAUUUAAAUAAAUCCAUGAUUUUCUACAAUGACCAAAAUUUAUCAUUAUUCAAAAUUCAAUACUUUUAUUUUUUGAAAUUAUUUUUUUAAUCUCAUUUAUUUAAUUUUCCGAUUAAAAAUAAAAAUCCCCAAAGGUCCACCCCUUCUUUCCCUCGUCCGUUUCCCUCCACCCCAAAUUUAUUUUACUUCGCCCCCCACCCCCCACACCACCUGACAAACAGUAACUUCCCCUCCCCCAAACUCAAAAAUCACGUCAUCAGUCUCCCUUUUUUUUUUAUUACUUUUUAGUUCCCUUAUCAAAACCCUAGCCACCCUCCUUUUCCUCCUCCUUCUCGCCGUUGGCCGCACGACCCCCUCCCCUUCCUCUCCUCUUCCUCUCCUCUUCCUCUCGAUCCUUCUCCUUCUCCUCCUCACCACACGACCACCUGCCUCUCCGCAUGACCCCCUUCCUCUCCUCCUCCUCCUCCUUGUUGCCAAUCCAUCGCAACAAUGGCGGCCCUCGCUUCAGUUUCUGCUCUCUUUGGUUGUCUCUCACCAUUGCAGUAGUUCGUUGCAUGGCUUCAUCUUGCUAGCGGGAGUUUGCUUUCUCUGUCUUCUUUCCCUCCAUCUGUUGGAGAAAUCUUCUUGAAGUGUUUUGAAGUUGACAAAACGUUUCUAUCAGUCUAGUCUGAAGGCUUGCAGACUCUGCUAUUUAAAGUCUGAAGACCUCCGGACAGCCAGACUCAAGACUCAAAGUCUAUCCUCAUUGAUAGUCUCUAAUCCGUUGAAGAAAGGUUAUCCAGAACUGGAUGUUUCGUUAAGGAUUUAACCUUAUCAACUGGAGAAGAUCUCGUGGCUGGAGAAGACAUAACAGAGUCCUUUGAUUGAUUUAAGAUUGACUCGAUAAUUGAAGAUCCGGUGAUUGCCUAAAUAUUAUUGGAAGGUUCUGCUUAUGGAAACCGAGAUCCUGAUUGUAUGGGCGAACAUGAUUGAUGGGCUAUCAACACGUUCCUUUAAUAGCUUGAACAAUUUUUCUAAUUGAUUCCGUCCAACGGGUAGAUUGGAGGAAUUCCUUUGGUAAGUGCCAACGGGUAUGAUGGCAUAAAGGAGUAUAUAAGGAAGACUGUCUUAGUUGUUCAAGGUGUGCGCAAUAGAAGAAUUCCAAAGUCUGAAGCUCCUUUUUUGUUUAGACAAAUCCUUUGAGCGAAUACUUGUAUACGAAAGAGAGAGUCUAUAUUUGUGAGAAAUCUUGAGAAGGUGUGGUAGAACAUCUACACUGUGGAAUCAAGGCAAAUCUGUGCUGUAACUUCUCUUUUGUUCAUAGUGGAAUCCAGCCAAUAGGCUGUCAGUGAAGAAGAGUGGACGUAGGCUUGAUAUAAGCCGAACCACUAUAAAUCACGUGUUCAAUUUUCUCUUCUCUCAGUCUUACUUUGAUUAUCGUUUCCAUCAACUGUCUAGUAUUGUGCAAUUGUUGAAGAAAAAUCCUCUAUAUACCUAUUCACCCCCCUCUAGGUACUCAUACUAGCAAUAUCAAUUGGUAUCAAAGCCUGUGUACUUACUUUAUUUGAAGUGUUUUACUUCGUAGUAAAAGAUCCAUGGCUAGUAUGCUAGCACCAUGGCUGAUGGAAGGGCAAAGCAAUACCAGACCACCCUACUUUGAUGGAAAGGAUUACAACAUCUGGAAGAACAAGAUGAAAGCUUUCCUACGAUCAAAGGAUCCUCUGGAAUGGGACGUUGUAGAAAAAGGAAUUACUCCUACCACUGCAUUAGUCUCUGAAAGAGGAAAAGAAACUGAUGAAACUAGCGGAAUGUCUCAGGAAGAAAUAAUCAAGAGACAAGCACUCGAUACAAAAGCAAUUUACUCCUUAUAUUGUGCUUUAUCACCAACUGAAUAUAAUAGAAUAUCUUCUUGUGGUACAGCAAAAGAAGUUUGGGACAGAUUGCAUAUCACCUAUGAAGGAACAGAUUGAGUGAAGGAAACAAGAAUCAACAUUUUUCUCGGUCAAUACGAAGCCUUCAGAAUGAAACCAGGAGAAUCUAUAUCUGACAUGUUUAGUCGUUUUACAGAUAUUGUGAAUGGUCUUGAAAAUCAAGGUCAACCAACUUUUGAUCCCAUGAAGGUAAACAAGCUACUGCGUGGACUCUCCAGGAUUGGAAUCACAUAAAGACUUCGAUAAGUAAUUUUAAAAUUCCUGUCAAAGUUUCUAAAUACAUUGAUGAACUAUGUUUUAGUCUUAAGACUUCUCUCAAAAGAAUUUCCGAACUAAAAAAGGAAAACUCAGCUCUAAAACAAAAGGAAAAUGUUUUAGUAGAAAGAGUUAAAAGUCUAGACUUGACUGUUUCUAAUCUUAAAGAAAAUGAAGAUAAUCUUUUAAAAGAAAAUGCUUUUUUAAAAACAGACUUAUCAAAUACAUCAAAGAAAUUUUCAAUAGGGUCUGAAAAACUUGAGAAAAUUCUUUCAGCACAAAGACCUUACUUCAAUAAGUCCGGUCUAGGUAUGUUAGAAGAAACAAUUCCCUUGAUUGAUUUUCCUAAAGUAAAAGAAAGAAUUAAGAAAAGACUCUCGAGAGAGGUUUACAAAAAUCACUUCAAGAAAGUUUUUGUAAAAUCUAUAGGUAGAAAUGCUCUAAGAUGUUCAAAAUGCAACAGUCCGGAUCACUUUGAAAAAGAGUGUCCUAUGGUUUGGAAACCUGUUAAGAAAAUAUGGGCUAAUACUGCUUAUGUUACUAACACCAAAGGACCCAAGAAAGUUUUGGUACCAAAGAAAGCUUGAGACUCUUUUUUAAAUGCAGGUCACCGUCGAGAAAAAUGUGAAGUGGUAUCUUAACAGUGGAUGCUCAAGACACAUGACAGGAGACUCAAAUUGUUUUAUAAAGCUUGCUCAAGUAAAUGGUGGAAAAGUUUCAUUUGGAGGAAACAACAAAGGGAGUAUUGUGGGAUUUGGAACUGUGAAAAUUGGAAAUCUCACAAUAAGUAAUGUUUCCUUAGUGGAAGGACUCAAUUACAAUCUUCUCAGCAUUAGUCAAUUGUGUGAUACUGGUUUCAAGAUCUUCUUUCAAGAAGGAAUAUGUUCUGGAAUCAGUAAAGACUCUACUCAGUCUUUCAUGGGUCGUAGACAUGGAAACAUCUAUCUUCUGGAUGUGAAACCAAAUGAAUCGCAAUGUUUUAUCUCAAUUCAAGACGAAGCAAGCUUAUGGCACAGAAAGCUUGGUCAUGUAUGAAGCAAUUAGCCAAAAUCUCAUCAAAGCAGCUUGUUCGAGGACUACCCAAAUUACCUUAUCAAAAGACUGAUCCAUGCACUCCAUGUAUUCUGGGAAAGCAGGUAAGAAAUUCAUUUAAGCCAAUAAAUCAUGUCUCUACUAAUCAUGUACUACAGUUGCUGCAUAUGGAUCUCUUCGGACCAACCAGAACACAGAGUAUUGGAGGUAAGAAAUAUUGCCUAGUAAUUGUGGACGAUUACUCCCGUUUUACUUGGAUAUAUUUCCUUGCAAGUAAGUCUGAAACCUUCUCGUAUUUUGAAAAGUUUGCUAAAAAGGUUCAAAAUGAAAAAGGAUGUAUUAUCUCAAGUAUACAGAUCAUGGAGGUGAAUUUGAAAAUGAAGAUUUUACUAAAUUUUGUGAUGAAUCUGGCUUUAAUCAUGUGUUCUCCUCUCCAUAUACUCCUCAGCAAAAUGGACUUGUGGAAAGAAAGAACAGAUCUCUUCAAGAAAUGGCUAGAACUCUUUUAAUUGAAAGCAAGAUUUCUUCACGAUUUUAGGCUGAAGCUAUUUCAACAGCUUGUUAUAUCAUCAAUAGAGUCUUCUUAAGACCUAUUCUAGAGAAAACCCCUUAUGAGUUGUUCAAAGAUAAGAAGCCUAUUGUUUCAUACUUUCAUGUAUUCGGUUGCAAAUGUUUUAUAUUGAAAAAUGCAAAAGAUCGAGUUGGUAAGUUUGAAGAAAGAUCAGAUGAAGGUAUCUUCUUUGGAUAUUCUACAUCAAGCAAAGCCUUCAGAGUCUAUAACAAGAAGAGCCAGUCUGUGGAGGAGUCAAUGAAUGUCAAAUUUCAAGACUCAACGCAAGAUGAAUCAAGUCAGACUCAUCAAGAAGAGUCUGAACCUGCUCCAGAACUUCCAAAGCUUACAACUCAAGAAGCAUCUCAGACUCUGGAAAACCAGCAUCAGGAUGUUCGUGAAGAUCUAAACAAAGAGAGAGAUCAUCAACCAGACAAAUCAACAAGUAACUGGAAGCAUAAGUCUAGUCAUCCCAAAGAUCUUAUAAUCGGCGAAAUUAAUGAAGGAAUUCGCACCAGAUCCAAAAGGCGAGAAGAGUCUAGUGCUGUGGCUCUCGUUUCUGAAAUUGAACCAAAAAACAUAGAAGAAGCUUUAUCUGAUGAAAGCUGGAUUGAAGCUAUGCAAGAAGAGCUCAGACAGUUCAGCAUUAAUGAUGUCUGGGAAUUGACAUCCAAACCAAAAGGUAAAACUAUUAUUGGAGCUAAAUGGGUGUUCAGAAACAAGAUGAAUGAGAAAGGAAAAGUCGUACGAAACAAAGCAAGACUCGUGGCCAAGGGAUAUACGCAAGAAGAAAGAAUAGACUAUGAUGAGACUUACGCUCCAGUAGCAAGGUUAGAAGCUAUUCGACUAUUACUUGCGUUUGCUUGUUAUAAGAAUUUCAGGUUAUUCCAAAUGGACGUCAAAAGCGCCUUCCUAAAUGGAUUUAUCCAAGAGGAAGUUUAUGUGGAACAACCACCAGGGUUUGAAGACCCAAAGAAGCCAGACUCAGUCUUCAGACUGAAAAAGGCUUUGUAUGGUUUAAAGCAAGCACCUCGAGCUUGGUACGACAUAUUAAUCUAUGCAGGAUGAAUUUGAAAUGAGUAUGAUGGGAGAGUUAACAUUCUUUCUUGGUCUUCAAGUAAAACAAUUGAAGGAAGGAACUUUUAUUUAUCAAGAAAAAUAUGUUAAUGAUCUUGUCAAAAGAUUUGGACUGGAAAAGUGCAAAAAGACCGACAUACCGAUGUCAAGUUCUUUGAAGAUAGACAAAGAUGAAGAAGGGAAGAAAGUUGAUUAAAAGCUGUACAGGAGCAUCAUUGGUUCACUUCUUUAUCUUACCGCUUCUAGACCUGACAUUUUGUUGAGUGUUUGCAUCUGUGCUAGGUUUCAAUCAGAUCCAAGAGAAUCCCAUCUCAGUGCUGCGAAACACAUCAUUAAAUACAUUGCUUCAUCAUCAAGCAUCGGUCUUUGGUAUCCUAAGAAGGGAGACUUUAAUCUUCUGGGAUAUUCAGACGCAGAUCUGGCCGGUUGCAGAGUUGAUAGAAAAAGCACUUCGGGAACCUGCCAGUUGCUUGGAAGCAGGACAGUGUCUUAGUUUUCAAGAAAACAAAGCACUCUGUCCCUUUCAAUAACAGACGUAGAGUAUGUAGCCCUUGGAAGCUGCUGUUCGCAAAUUCUAUGGAUAAAACAGCAGCUAAGAGACUUUGAAAUUGAAGACUCAUGCACGGAGAUUAAUUGCGACAAUACCAACGCUAUCAACCUCACCAAAAAUCCUAUUCUCCACUCAAGAGCAAAGCAUAUAGAGAUUCGACAUCACUUUAUUAGAGACCAUGUUCAAAAUGGAGAUGUUUCAAUUCAAUUUGUUGACUCAAAGAAUCAACUGGCGGAUAUAUUCACAAAGCCUUUGGAGAAAAAUCAAUUUGAGUCUAUACGUUCCAGACUCAACAUUUUGAGGUAUGAGGAUAUCAAAGUCUAAAGACUUUUAGACUUAGACUUACAAGACUUUAUCUGAAAGACAGUCUUGGUACGUCCGUCAGACUGUAAGUCUUUCUCUCUUGAAUCUCAUCUUGAAAAGGUACGAUCGUCAGACUGUGUUUAAAUUGUUGCUAUAUUUAAUUGACGUAAAUAUUGCAUCGUUUCAUUUUCAAAAAGGAAGUUAUUUUUGAAAUGGCUAUUUUUCAGAAAAAGACAGUUAUUUUGAAAAGGCAUAUUUUUAUUUCCUUUGUGACGGUUCGUUUAUCCCUCUUUUUAACCGAUCGUGCACUGUCGAUUCCUCUUCACUUUUCUCUCAAAAACCCUAGAAAGCAUCGAUCCUUCAUUCCCGUUUGUCUUCUUCGUUUAAUCCUCAAAAAGUUGUCAUCUUUCCUGGGAAAGUCAAGUAAGGAAUCUUCCAAAAACUGAGAAAUAUGUCAUCUUCAAGAAAGUCUUCAAGAAUCGCAAGCAGGGGACCACGGCGGAUGAGUGAGGGGCCUACGCACUUCGAUCUUACUGAAGAAGAAGUGACUCCAGAACAGCAAGCGAGCCCACAACAUUCUCAGCAGCGUCAUUCUCCUCCCUCUAGUCCUAAAGGCGUUGAUCAACAACAACAGGAAGAAAUCAUCGAGGAAGCAGACCCUGUAAGAGUUCAAAAGCCCGCUUAUAUUUACCAGUUAUAUCGUGCCUUAAAAGGAAUUCGUACUCCUUUGAACUACAUUGAUGAGUUUCUUAAAGACAAAGGACAUGGGAACGAAUAUAUCUUUAUGCGAAAAAUGGAAAGUUUGGGAAUUGCUCGAAAAGGGGUGGCUGAGGAAACCCUUGCAAAUAUUGAUAUUGCUAGUAUAAACACCUAGAGGGGGGUGAAUAGGCGCACAAACAAUUUUUCUUGAAUACGGAAGCAAUUCUUAACAGAUUGAUAUACGUUUGAAGUAAAGAGAGUAAGGAAGAGAAAAUUAAACACAGGAUUUAUAGUGGUUCGGAUUAUUCCAAUCCUACGUCCACUCUUCCGCACUGACAGCCAACCGGCUGGAUUUCACUAUAAUAAAAAGAGAAGUUACAGCACAGCUUUGCCUUGAUUCCACAGUGUAGAUGUUCUACCACACCUCCUCAAGGUCUCUCACAAAUAUAGACUCUCUUUUGUAUACAAGUAAUCGCUCAAGAGAUUUAUCUAAACAAAUGGGAGCUUCAGACUUUGGAAUUUUUCUAUCGCGCACACCUCGAACAACUAAGAACGACUUCCUUAUAUACUCCUUUAUGCCAUCAUACCCGUUGGCACUUACCAAAGGAAUUCCUCCAAUCUAACCGUUGGACAUAAUCAAUUAGGAAGAUUGUUCGAGUUAUUAAAGGAACAUGUUGAUAGCCCAUCAAUCCUGUUCGCCCAUACAAUCAGGAUCUCGGUUUCCAUAAGUAGAACCUUCCAAUAAUAUAUAGAUAAUCAUCGAAUCUUCAGUCAUUGAAUCAAUCUUGAUCAAUCAAAGGAUUCUGAUAUGUCUUCUCCAGCCACGAGAUCUUCUCUAGAUGAUAAGGUUAAAUCCUGAACAAACCACUUAGUUCUGGAUAACCUUUCUUCAACGAAUUCGAGACUGUCAAUGAGGAUAGACUUUGAGUCUUGAGUCUGGCUGUCCGGAAGUCUUCAGACUUUAAACUGACAGAGUCUGCAGACUUUCAGACUAGACCGAAUGAUACGUUUUGUCAACUUCAAAACUCUUCAUGAGGAUUUCUCCAACAAUGUCCCCCUUUUUGAUGGUGACAAAACCUUCCUACAGAUUUGGAUAACUUUGACCUGCAAAACAUUUCUCAAACACAUAUGCAUAUCUUAUUGAAAUAAAUGGCUAAUAGAAUAACACUAGAUUCUGCAACCACAGAAAAUAAGUUAGUCCAAUAUAUGAUUAAUCCAUUCAUAAGAUAUCAAUAUUGAUAAAUAGAAGCAGUCAAGUUAAAUCCAAGUCUAGGCAUCCAGACACAAAAUAAAGUCAAAGUCUGUCAAAAACAAACAGACAGUUUAAACAUAAUCCAUCAAAAUAAAAAGAUUGAAAGUUUUGUUUUUCAAAUCAUGAUGCAUCUCUCCCCCUUUUUGUCAACAUUUAAAAAGGAUGAGAUGAAAUCAAGAUUGCUUGGGAACGCGGACAAGCUGGAAAUCUUCCAUAGACUGAACAAUGCCUUCCAGCCUCUUAAAGUCUUCUUUCAGCUGUACAACCUCCUCACUCUUGGCAUUAGCCUGAUUCUGAAUAGAGAGGGCUUGCAUCUUUUCAUUUAAUGAACAGGAAGAAGCUUGACCUUCAUUCUUCAAGCUUUGAACUUCGCAUCCCAAGGCAUAUAUCUGACCUUUCAUCUCCAAUAGAAUAUCCAUGAUUCUACGAAAAUCUGCUCCAUUAUCAGUCUGAGUACUUGCUUCUGCUCGUUCUGAUGGAGUAAAAGCAGACGAUGGUGGAUCAGCAUAAUCUCGCAGGUUUGGCGAUAAAGCUUCAUGACCUUCCUCUGGAAAUUGAGAUGCAUAAACAUCUUCUGGGUCUGCAGGCGAACGACUGACUCCUUCACUUUCAUCUGGAAAUGAAGAUGUCACUCCUUUCUCCUGAACUCCCCCUGUUUUCAUGCCUACAGGUGGAGAAGAGAUUUCCUCAGUUUCUCCUUCUCUUCCUUCUUCUUCAGGUCUUUCUUUCUCUGCUUCUUGUUCUGUUUCUCUUUCUCCUUCCUCCUUCUCCUUUGCUUCUCUUUCUUCUUCCUCUUUCUCUGCCUCUUUCGUCUUUUGUUCCGAUUCUUUCUGAGGAACAGGACGACUUAAGUUCUUUAAAGCCAUUGCAGAGAUGGUGAUGUCAUCAUCAUCAUCUUCAUCCUCAACGAGGAGAACUCUUCUUUUCUUUGAUGGAGCAGCCAUGGGCUCCUUCCCUUUUCUCUUAGCAGCAGAAGAGAGUUGAUGAGACUUGGCAGGAGUCUUGAAUUUCUCCAAUUCCUUGCUCAGUUCUUUCAGACGCAUUUUAGUCACCAUUUUCAGUCCUACCACCAUUUGAUCGCAUGAUCGAACACAAAGGAUUUGUGGAGGCUGAAUAUUCAGAUGUCUGAAUAACUUCGUAACAAGGCUUGGAUAAGGGAGUUGACCUCUGUCCUUCAUCACUGCUCUAUACAUGUGAAACAUGAUAGUAUGAGGGAGAGAAAACUUCUUUCCACAGAGGAUGGCAUACAUCAGCUUUGCCUCAGAGCUUGAAACAUCAGUUUUGGAAGUUGAUUUCGGCCGAAGGCAAUUAAUCACAGUUUUGUGAAGCAGGAUGUUGAAUGCAUUCAUCCUUGAGUAGGUGAUCUUCUCUUCUGUUCUUCUGUCCUUCACCAGUUCAAGAGUGGCCCGAGCAAUGGAAACCUUAAUCGGUUGAUAUCUCCCUCUCUCAACUUCUAACACAUCAGCCAGCAUAUCCAUAUCAACAACAUAGUCUUGAUCUUUGACACUGAAGGAAAAUCUAUUCGCAUCUAAAAAACUAAGAUUUGAAUAGAAAUACGCAGUCAGUUCAGCAUAAGCCUCUGUUGAGUCAGAACAGAACUUUUCCAAUUGAAGAUAAUUGAACUUUUCCCUCAAGUUCACUUUCACAGCAUCCAGAAAAUCAAAGUCCACACUCCUAGGGUUUAUUACCCCUCGCUUCAGCAAUUUCGAGUACAUAUCCUUUUGUUCCUUAGAUCUGAACAAAUCUCCCCUUUUUCCUUGAAUUUCAGCCGCAAUACCCAUUUUCGGUUGAAAUAAACUGAACAUAUUGUCAUCAUCAUUCCCAUCUACAGGAUUUGGCCCCCAGUCACGAGGAUCACUUGGGAUAUUCGCAAGGGUUUCCUCAGCCACCCCUUUACGAGCAAUUCCCAAACUUUUCAUUCUUUUCAGAAAGAUAUAUUCGUUCCUAUAUCCUUUUUCUUUAACAAAACUAUCAAUAUAGUUCAAAGGAGUACGAAUUCCUUUUAAAGCACGAUAUAACUUGUAGAUAAAAGCAGGCUUUUGAGAUCUUACGGGGUCUGCUUCCUCGAUGAUUUCUUCCUGUUGAACAAUGUCUUGAGGACUAGAUGAUGGAGAGUGACGCUGCUGAGAAUGUUGUGGGCUCGGAUGCUGAUCUGGAGAAACUUCAUCUUCCGUAAGAUCAAAGUGAGUAGGCCCUUCACUCAUCUUCUGUGGUCCCCUGCUUGCGAUUCUUGACUUUCUUGAAAACGACAUCUUUCUCAGUCAAUGGAAGAUUUCUUGCUUGACUUUCACAGAAAAGAUGACAACUUUUUAAGAUUGAACGAAGGAGACAAACGGAAGUGGAGGAUCGAUGUUUUCUAGGGUUUUGAGAGUAAAGUGAAUAGAAAGGUGAAGAGUAAUCGAUAGUGUUCGUUCGGUUAAAAAGAGAAGAAAACGAAUCGUCACAAAGGAAAUAAAAUAUGCAUUUUCAAAAUAACUGCCUUUAUCCGGAAAAAUAGCUAUUUCAGAAGUAACUUCCUUUUUGAAAAUGAAUCGUUGCAAAAUUUACGGUUAAUAAAUAUAGCAAUAAUUUAAACAGAGUCUGAUGAUCGUACCUUUUCAAGAUAAGAUUGGAGAGAGAAAGUCUUACAGUCUGAAGGUUGAGACAAGACUGUAGAUAAGGUCUUAUAAGCCUGAGUCUGAAGGUCUUUAGACUUUGAUAUCCUCAUACCUCAAAAUGUUGAGUCUGGUCCGUAUAGACUCAAAUUGAUUUUUGUCCAAAGGCUUUGUGAGUAUAUCAGCCAGUUGAUUCUUUGAGUCAACAAAUUGAAUUGAGACAUCUCCAUUUUGAACAUGAUCUCUAAUGAAGUGAUGUCGAAUCUCUAUAUGCUUUGCUCUUGAGUGGAAAAUUGGAUUUUUGGUGAGGUUGAUAGCGCUGGUGUUGUCGCAAUUAAUCUCCGUGCAUGAGUCUUCAAUUUCAAAAUCUCUUAGCUGUUGUUUUAUCCAUAGAAUUUGCGAACAGCAGCUUCCAAGAGCUACAUACUCUGCUUCUGUUGUUGAAAGGGACACAGUACUUUGCUUCCUAGAAAACCAAGACACUGUUCUGCUUCCAAGCAACUGGCAAGUUCCUGAAGUGCUCUUUCUAUCAACUCUGCAACCGGCCAUAUCUGCGUCUGAAUAACCCAGAAGAUUAAAGUCUCCCUUCUUAGGAUACCAAAGACCGAUGCUUGAUGAUGAAGCGACAUAUUUGAUGAUGCGUUUCGCAGCACUGAGAUGAGAUUCUUUAGGAUCUGAUUGAAACCUUGCACAGAUACAAACACUUAACAAAAUAUCAGGUCUAGAAGCAGUAAGAUAAAGAAGUGAUCCGAUAAUGCUCCUGUACAGUUUUUGAUCAACUUUCUUUCCUUCUUCAUCUUUGUCUAUCUUUAAAGAACUUGACAUUGGUAUGUCGACCUUUUUGCAAUUCUCCAGUCCAAACCUUUUGACAAGAUCAUUGACAUAUUUUUCUUGAAAAAUAAAAGUUCCUUCUUUCAAUUGCUUUAUUUGAAGACCAAGAAAGAAUGUUAAUUCUCCCAUCAUACUCAUUUCAAACUCCUCCUGCAUAGACUUUGAAAAUUUCUUGCACAGACUUUCAUUAGAGGAUCCAAAAAUGAUAUCAUCUACAUAUAUUUGAACAAGUAAGAAACUUUUGUUUUCCUUCUUGAUAAAUAAAGUCGUAUCUACUUUACCUUUGACAAAACCAUUUUGUAAAAGGAAAUUACUUAACCUGUCGUACCAAGCUCGAGGUGCUUGCUUUAAACCAUACAAAACCUUUUUCAGUCUGAAGACUGAGUCUGGCUUCUUUGGGUCUUCAAACCCUGGCGGUUGUUCCACAUAAACUUCCUCAUGGAUAAAUCCAUUUAGAAAUGCGCUUUUGACGUCCAUUUGGAAUAACCUGAAAUUCUUAUAACAAGCAAACGCAAGUAAUAGACGAAUAGCUUCUAACCUUGCUACUGGAGCGUAAGUCUCAUCAUAGUCUAUUCCUUCUUCUUGCGUAUAUCCCUUGGCCACGAGUCUUGCUUUAUUUCGUACGACUUUUCCUUUCUCGUUCAUCUUGUUUCUGAACACCCAUUUGGCUCCAAUAACAGUUUUACCUUUUGGUUUGGAUGUCAAUUCCCAGACAUCAUUUAUGCUGAAUUGUCUGAGCUCUUCUUGCAUAGCUUCAAUCCAGCUUUCAUCAGAUAAAGCUUCUUCUGUGCUCUUUGGUUCAAUUUCAGAAACAAGAGCCACAGCACUAGACUCUUCUCUCCUUUUGGAUCUGGUGCGAAUUCCUUCAUUCAUUUCGCCAAUUAUGAGAUCUUUGGGAUGACUGGAUUUAUGCUUCCAGUUACUUGUUGAUUUGUUUGGUUGAUGAUCUCUUUCUUUAUUUAGAUCUUCACUAACAACCCGAUGCUGGUUUUCCAGAGUCUGAGAUGCUUCUUGAGUUGUAGACUUUGGAGGGUCUGGAGCAGGUUCAGACUCUUCUUGAUGAGUCUGUCUUGAUUCAUCUUGCGUUGAGUCUUGAAAUUUGACAUUCAUUGACUCCUCUACAGACUGACUCUUCUUGUUAUAGACUCUGUAAGCUUUGCUUGAAGUAGAAUAUCCAAGGAAGAUACCUUCAUCUGAUCUUUCUUCAAACUUACCAACACGAUCUUUUGCAUUUUUCAAUAUGAAACAUUUGCAACCAAAUACAUGAAAGUAUGAAACAAUAGGCUUCUUUUCUUUGAAUAACUCAUAAGGGGUUUUCUGAAGAAUAGAUCUUAAGAAGACUCUAUUGAUGAUAUAGCAAGCUGUUGAAACAGCUUCAGCCCAAAAUCGAGAAGUAAUUUUACUUUCAAUUAGAAGAGUUCUAGCCAUUUCUUGAAGAGAUCUGUUCUUUCUUUCCACAACUCCAUUUUGCUGAGGAGUAUAUGGAGAGGAAAACACAUGUUUACAUCCAGAUUCAUCACAGAAUUUUGUAAAAUCUUGAUUUUCAAAUUCUCCUCCGUGAUCUGAUUUUAUACAAGAGAUUACACAUCCUUUUUCAUUUUGAACCUUUUUAGCAAAUUUUUCAAAAUACGAAAAGGUUUCUGACUUACUUGAGAGGAAAUAUACCCAAGUAAAACGGGAGUAAUCAUCAACAAUUACUAGACAAUACUUCUUACCCCCAAUACUCUGAGUCCUGGUUGGUCCGAAGAGAUCCAUAUGCAGCAACUGCAGAACAUGAUUAGUAGAGACAUGAUUUAUUGGCUUAAAAGAAUUUCUUACCUGCUUUCCCAAAAUACAUGGAGUGCAUGAAUCAGUCUUUUGGUAUGGCAAUUUGGGUAGAUCUCGAACAAGCUGCUUUGAUGAGAUUUUGGCUAAUUGCUUCAUGUUGACAUGACCAAGCUUUUUGUGCCAUAAGCUUGCUUCGUCUUGAAUUGAGAUAAGACAUUGCGAUUCAUUUGGUUUCACAUCCAGAAGAUAGAUGUUUCCAUGUCUUCGACCCAGAAAAGAUUGAGUAGAGUCUUUACUGACUCCAGAACAUGUCCCUUCUUGAAAGAAUAUCUUGAAACCAGUAUCACACAAUUGACUAAUGCUGAGAAGAUUGUAAUUGAGUCCUUCCACCAAGGAAACAUUACUUAUUGUGAGAGUCCCAAUUUUCACGGUUCCGAAUCCCACAAUACUUCCUUUGUUGUUUCCUCCAAAUGAAACUUUUCCACCAUUUACUUGAGCAAGCUUUAUAAAACAAUUUGAGUCUCCUGUCAUGUGUCUUGAGCAACCGCUGUCAAGAUACCACUUUACCUGUUUCUUGAUGGAGACCUGCAUUUAAUAAAGAGUCUCAAGCUUUCUUUGGUACCCAAACUUUCUUGGGUCCUUUGGUGUUAGUAAGAUAAACAGUAUUAGCCCAUACUCUUUUAAUAGGUUUCCAUACCAAAGGACACUCUUUUUCAAAGUGUUCCUUACUGUUGCACUUAGAACAUCUGAGAGAAUUUCUUCCUACAGGUUUUACAAAGACUUUCUUAAAAUGAUUUUUGUAAACUUCACUCGAAAGAAAGAAUUUUCUCAAGUUUUUCAGACCCUAUUGAAAAUUUCUUUGAUAUAUUUGAUAAGUCUGUUUUCAAGAAAGCAUUUUCUUUUAAAAGAUUUCCUUCUUUUUCUUUAAGAUUAGAAACAGACAAGUCUAAGCUUUUAACUCUUUCUGUUAAAACAUUUUCCUUUUGUUUUAGAGCUAAGUUUUCCCUUUUUAAUUUGGAAAUUCUUUUGAGAGAAAUCUUAAGACUUAAGCAUAGUUCAUUAAUAUAAUUAGAAACUUUGACAGGAAUCUUAAAAUUACUUGCCUCAAAUUCACUGUCUGAGUCUGAUCCUGAGUCUGAUCCAGAGUCUGAGUCUGAUCGUGCCAUCAGACAUAGAUUUGCAUAUUCAUUAUCACUUUCUUCACACUCAGUAUCACUCCAGGUUUCAGCUUUGAGAGCUUUUCGAAACUUUUCAGCCUUUCCUUUCUUCUUUUUUAGAAGAGGACAGUUGGGUCUGAUGUGUCCCUUCUUCUUGCAUUCAAAGCAGACUAUAUCUUUAUUUGGUUCCUCAUCAUCAACAGACUUGGUCUGCUGUCUUUGAAAGCCUGGUUUCUUUGAGUUGAACCUUCUCCCUUUUCUAUUUAGUUUUCUGAAUCUUCUUAUCAUGAGAGCAAGCUCCUCAUCGUCCAUAUCAUCUUCAGAAUCUGUAACAUCAGAAUCAUCAUUUGAUUUUAAUGCAAUGGAUUUCUUACCUCUUGGAUCUUCUUCUUCAUUUAUCCUUUCCACUUCAUAGGACUGAAGCGUUCCAAUAAGCUCAUCAACAGACAGUGGCAUAAUUCUCUGCGUCUCUCUUAUCGAAGUCUUUAUGUGAUUCCAAUCCUUGGAGAGUCCACGCAGAAGCUUGUUUACCUUCAUGGGAUCAGAAGUUGGUUGACCUUGAUUUUCAAGACCAUUCACAAUAUCUGUAAAACGACUAAACAUAUCAGAUAUUGAUUCUCCUGGUUUCAUUCUAAAGGCUUCAUAUUGACCGAGAAGAAUGUUGAUUCUUGUUUCCUUCACUCGAUCUGUUCCUUCAUAAGUGAUAUGCAAUCUGUCCCAAACUUCUUUUGCUGUACCACAAGAAGAUAUUCUAUUAUACUCAGUUGGUGAUAAAGCACAAUAUAAAGAGUAAAUUGCUUUUGCAUCGAGUGUUUGUCUUUUGGUUAUUUCUUCCUGAGACAAUCCGCUGGAUUCUUCAGUAUCUUUUCCUCUUUCAGAGACUGGUGCAGUGGUAGGAAUUAUUCCUUUUUCUACAACAUCCCAUUCCAGAGGAUCCUUUGAUCGUAGGAAAGCUUUCAUCUUGUUCUUCCAGAUGUUGUAAUCCUUUCCAUCAAAGUAAGGUGGUCUGGUAUUGCUUUGCCCUUCCAUCAGCCCUGGUGCUAGCAUACUAGCCAUGGAUCUUUUACUAUGAAGUAAAACACUUCAAAUAAAGUAAGUACACAGGCUCUGAUACCAAUUGAUAUUGCUAGUAUAAACACCUAGAGGGGGGUGAAUAGGCGCACAAACAAUUUUUCUUGAAUACGGAAGCAAUUCUUAACAGAUUGAUAUACGUUUGAAGUAAAGAGAGUAAGGAAGAGAAAAUUAAACACAGGAUUUAUAGUGGUUCGGAUUAUUCCAAUCCUACGUCCACUCUUCCGCACUGACAGCCCACCGGCUGGAUUUUACUAUAAUCAAAAGAGAAGUUACAGCACAGCUUUGCCUUGAUUCCACAGUGUAGAUGUUCUACCACACCUCCUCAAGGUCUCUCACAAAUAUAGACUCUCUUUUGUAUACAAGUAAUCGCUCAAGAGAUUUAUCUAAACAAAUGGGAGCUUCAGACUUUGGAAUUUUUCUAUCGCGCACACCUCGAACAACUAAGAACGACUUCCUUAUAUACUCCUUUAUGCCAUCAUACCCGUUGGCACUUACCAAAGGAAUUCCUCCAAUCUAACCGUUGGACAUAAUCAAUUAGGAAGAUUGUUCGAGUUAUUAAAGGAACAUGUUGAUAGCCCAUCAAUCCUGUUCGCCCAUACAAUCAGGAUCUCGGUUUCCAUAAGUAGAACCUUCCAAUAAUAUAUAGAUAAUCAUCGAAUCUUCAGUCAUUGAAUCAAUCUUGAUCAAUCAAAGGAUUCUGAUAUGUCUUCUCCAGCCACGAGAUCUUCUCUAGAUGAUAAGGUUAAAUCCUGAACAAACCACUUAGUUCUGGAUAACCUUUCUUCAACGAAUUCGAGACUGUCAAUGAGGAUAGACUUUGAGUCUUGAGUCUGGCUGUCCGGAAGUCUUCAGACUUUAAACUGACAGAGUCUGCAGACUUUCAGACUAGACCGAAGGAUACGUUUUGUCAACUUCAAAACUCUUCAUGAGGAUUUCUCCAACAAAUAUCCCAAGUGAUCCUCGUGACUGGGGGCCGAAUCUUGUGGAUGAUGAUGACAAAUUAUUCAGUCAAUUUCAACCAAAAAUGGGUGUUGCGGUUGAAAAUCAAGGGAAAAGGGGAGAUUUGUUCAGAUCGAAGGAGCAAAAGGAUCUGUACUCGAAAUUAUUGAAGCGUGGGGUAAUAAACCCUAGGAGUGUUGAUUUUGAUUUUCUGGAUGCUGUGAAUAUGAACUUGAGGGAAAAGUUCAGUUAUCUUCAACUCGAAAAGUUCUGCUCUGACUCUACAGAGGCAUAUGCUGAAUUAACUGCAUAUUUCUAUUCAAAUCUAAGCUUUUUAGAUGCGAAUAGAUUCUCUUUCAGCGUUAAAGACCAAGACUAUGUUGUGGAUAUGAAUAUGCUGGCAGAUGUGUUAGAAGUCGAAAGAGGAAGAUAUCAACCAAUCAAAGUUUCCAUUGCUCGGGCCACACUUGAACUGGUGAAGGACAGGAGAACAAAUGAAAAUAUCACCUACUUAAGGAUGGGUGCAUUCAACAUCUUGCUUCACAAGAUUGUGAUUAAUUGCCUCCGACCGAAAUCAACUUCCAAGACUGAUGUUUCAAGUUCAGAGGCCAAGCUGAUGUAUGCCAUUCUCUUUGGAAAAAGGUUUUCUCUCCCUCACACUGUGAUGUUUCACAUGUAUAGAGCAAUGCUGAAGGACAGAGGUCAACUCCCUUACCCAAGCCUUGUUACGAAGUUAUUCAGACAUCUGAAUAUUCAGCCUCCACAAAUCUUUUGUGUUCGACCAUGCGAUAAUAUUGUGGUAGGACUGAAAAUGGUGACCAAAAUGCGUCUGAAGGAACUGAGCAAGGAGUUGGAGAAAUUCAAGGAGAAGACUCCUGCAAAAUCUCAUCAAAUCUCUUCUGCAGCUAAAAGAAAAGGGAAGGAGCCCAUGGUUGCUCCAUCCAAGAGAAGAAGAGCUCUCCUCGUUGAGGAUGAAGAUGAUGAGGAAGACAUCACCAUCUCUGCAUUGGCUUUGAAGAAUUUAAGUCGUCCUGUUCCACAGAAAGAAUUAGAACAAAUGACGAAAGAAGCAGAGGAGAAGGAAGAAGAAGAAAUAGAAGCUGAAAAAGAAACAGAGGAGGAAAGACCAUAAGAAGAAAGAAGAGAAGAAGGAGAACCUGAGGAACACUCUUCUCCACCUGUAGGCAUGGAAAUAGGGGGAGAUCAGCAGAAAGGAGUGAAGUCUUCAUGUCCCGAUGCAAGUGAAGGAGUCAGUCGCUCACCAGCAGACCUAGAGGAUGUUUAUGCAUCUCAGUUUCCAGAAGAAGGUCAUGAAGUUUCAUCGCCAAACCUGCGAGAUUAUGCUGAUCUACCAUCGUCUGCAUUUACUCCAUCAGAUCGAGCCGAAGCAAGUACUCAGACUGAUAAUGGAGCAGAUUUUCGCAGAAUCAUGGAUAUUCUCUUGGAGAUGCGAGGUCAAAUUUAUGCCUUGGGAUGCGAAGUUCAAAGCUUGAAGAAUGAAGGUCAAGCUUCUUCCUGUUCAGUGAAUGAUAAAAUGCAAGCCCUCUCUGUUCAGAAUCAGGCCAAUGCCAAGAGUGAGGAGAUUGCACAACUAAAGGAAGACUUUAAAAGGCUGGAAGGCAUCGUUCAGUCUAUGGAAGAUUUCCAGCUUGUCCGCGUUCCCAAGCAAUCUUGACUUCAUCUCAUCCUUUUUAAUGAUGACAAAAAGGGGGAGAGAUGCAAGAUUUGAUCAAAAAAAUUUCAUUCAUUAAACUUUUAAUUGUUUGUUGGAUUGUUUUGUGGUUUAAACUCUGUUUGACUUUGUUUUGUGUCUGGAUGAGAACUGAACUAGACUUGGACUUGACUACUUCUAUUAACCAAUAUUGAUAUCUUAUGAAUGGCUUCAUCAUAUACUGGACUAACCUAUUUUCUGUGGUUGCAGAUCCUAGUGUUAUUCUGUUAGCCAUUUAUCUCUAUAAGAUAUGCAUAUGUGUUUGAGAAAUGUUUUGCAGGUCAAAGAUAUCCAAAUCUGCAGGAAAGUUUUGUCACCAUAAAAAAGGGGGAGAUUAUUGGAGAAAUCUUCUUGAAGUGUUUUGAAGUUGACAAAACGUUUCUAUCAGUCUAGUCUGAAGGCUUGCAGACUCUGCUAUUUAAAGUCUGAAGACCUCCAGACAGCCAGACUCAAGACUCAAAGUCUAUCCUCAUUGACAGUCUCUAAUCCGUUGAAGAAAGGUUAUCCAGAACUGGAUGUUUCGUUAAGGAUUUAACCUUAUCAACUGGAGAAGAUCUCGUGGCUGGAGAAGACAUAACAGAGUCCUUUGAUUGAUCUAAGAUUGACUCGAUAAUUGAAGAUCCGGUGAUUGCCUAAAUAUUAUUGGAAGGUUCUGCUUAUGGAAACCGAGAUCCUGAUUGUAUGGGCGAACAUGAUUGAUGGGCUAUCAACACGUUCCUUUAAUAGCUUGAACAAUCUUCCUAAUUGAUUCCGUCCAACGGGUAGAUUGGAGGAAUUCCUUUGAUAAGUGCCAACGGGUAUGAUGGCAUAAAGGAGUAUAUAAGGAAGACUGUCUUAGUUGUUCAAGGUGUGCGCGAUAGAAGAAUUCCAAAGUCUGAAGCUCCUUUUUUGUUUAGACAAAUCCUUUGAGCGAAUACUUGUAUACGAAAGAGAGAGUCUAUAUUUGUGAGAAAUCUUGAGGAGGUGUGGUAGAACAUCUACACUGUGGAAUCAAGGCAAAGCUGUGCUGUAACUUCUCUUUUGUUCAUAGUGGAAUCCAGCCAAUAGGCUGUUAGUGAAGAAGAGUGGACGUAGGCUUGAUAUAAGCCGAACCACUAUAAACUGCGUGUUCAAUUUUCUCUUCUCUCAGUCUUACUUUGAUUAUCGUUUCCAUCAACUGUCUAGUAUUGUGCAAUUGUUGAAGAAAAAUCCUCUAUAUACCUAUUCACCCCCCUCUAGGUACUCAUACUAGCAAUAUCACCAUCUUCUUCCGGACACGCGUGUCAAAACAUGUUGAGAAACGUUGACUGCGUGUCCGACCGUGUCCGACACGCUUUGACACGUGUCGGACAUGACAUAGAAGCAUGGGGAACAUGUCUGUGUUUCAUAGGGAGGGACGUGGGGAUUGGGGACAUUACAAGUAUAUUUUGGUGGGAAAAAUAAUCUAAUUGUUGGUUCAACUUCUAAACCAAUCUCAUUUUCUUUUGUUCAACAACAAGAUGGAGAAGACUCCAAAAAGGUAUCUUGCCACUUCUGGGCUUUCUAAGCCUGUAACUAUCAGCUGUGCUAGAUUUCUCAGCUACGCGGGAAAAAGAAACGAAAGGAGAUGGUUCAUGAUUUCACUCUAUGUACAAUAGUAGGACGAAGUCCGGAGUUUUGGUUGAAGAAGUCAAUAAUUUAAGGAUAAAAAUCUAAGUUUUGUCAGCGAUCAUUGUACAUGAAAUGCAUACUCAUCUAAAACUUGUCUAAAUUUAUUAAGUGCAUUUAAUAAAUUCAUUAACCUUCUCUUAAGUUUUCCGUUCCCUUUCUCUAUUAUAUCCAUUCACGUGCACUCAAUACUUUUCAAUUUUCAUGUAUCCAUUUGCAUGCUAGAGUUAAGGACGAUGGUCACUUACAUUCAAUUUGUUUUUUUUUUUUUUUGGGUAUGCCUGGCCUUUUUUUCACCUAUAAGAGGGUAGAAUAUUUGUUAUUCUGGUCUUUAUGUGCAUUUCAUCUCCUUUUUUUCUCCUCAGAAAUGGGUCUUAGUUGCAAAAUUAAUUCAUCAGAAAUCGAUUUUUCUUUUUCCAAUUUGAUCUUGACUUGCUAUUGAAUGGAUAAUCGGUUAUCAUCACUCCCAAUUAGAUUAGAAAUAUGACUACAUCUCAAUAUAUCAAUUUACAUCCGAACUGUAAAAAAUGAGACUCGGCAAUAAUCUAUUUCUUAUGUAUGGAUCAUCUUUCCUACUGGUAUCUCGAAAAGCAAAUGAUUUUUUUUUUUUGGCAUAAACAUUUUUGUUGAGUGUCUUAAAAAAUUAACUACAUUUAAAAAUGCAGCAAAAAUACAAAGAGAUAAGAGGAAUGGUGAGGGAUUUUGAUUUCACAUGAAUUAGCAAAAACGAUUGAGAACUUAUGAGCUGAAACUUUCUUCUAUGCAAUCCAUCUUAAAUGACAAUAUAAUAGCCAACCUGGCGAGGUUUUUUUUUUUUUUUUUUACUAUUUAGGAAUUUUAUAUUAUGCUUUCCAGAUAGUAGUGUACGUAAUUGAUGAACAAACAAAAGAUCAAAAAAAUAUUUAAUAACCGACUUAAUACUACCAUAGAAGUUUCAACACAUAUCACAAAUAUGAUAUAACCAUAUUCUUGCAUGUGGUAGCUUAUUAACUAUAAAUGUAUCUAUAACACACGGGUUUGAAAACUAGUCUAAUUUAUAAUAGGGGCUUCUGAACAUUAAAUGCAUUCAAUUUAAUGAGAAACAUUCUUUUCUUAUCCAAAUUGAAGUUUUAUAUUUUUUUUUUCACUUGAAAUAGAAUUAGUCGCAGAAAAGAGUGGGAAUAUGCGAAACAAGAUUCAAGAAUAGAAAAAAAAAUGAUUUAAUAACAGUAAAGUUGACUAUGAUCUGCAUAAUAUAUUAUUUGAUAGAAAAAGUACAUAAUGACUAACAUGCAUCAAUACCAUAACAUAUAGCGAAAAAUUACUUUGGUUUAAUCAGAUACAAAAUUUAGUAAAGUAAAAAUAUUAGAGUUGAUUUUGCUUGACUAAAGAAUGAUGAUUGCUUAAAAAUGACAAUAUUUGCGCCAAAUUAAAAGGAAAAAUAAUCUACGAUAAUUCAAUUUUAAUAAAAUAUGAUAUAUAAGAUGUUUGAUGACUCAAAGUGUAUUUAUAAUUUGUAUGUAAGAUAAAUGAACCUAUCUCAGUCCAUCAUAUAAUAAGAGACGCAUUUUUCUGAUUUUUUCUUCGAUUGUUUAGAUUAUGUCACCGUUAUCACUCUAAAAUAUUAAAUUCCCAUAUUAGUUAGAAGUGAAAAAAUUGGACAAUGAAGUAACAUAGAUUUCUUCUAUUUUGAAAUAUAAAACUCUUACAAAACAUAGGGGAGUGCACUAGCUAUAUUAAAAGGAGUAAUAUUAGUAUACACUAUCGAUGUAAAAAGAUAGUUACACAAGACAUCACAAACUGUGAAGGAGUUCCAUAAUUCAUGUCACUAAAACAAACAAGUACUGUAUAGUGUUCUGAGGUAUGCUCAGACCAUUAAAAUAGAAGUAAUAAAAUACUGAAUUGCAUCAUCUUGUAUGACGACUCCAAAUUCACAUUAACGGCUCAAGGGCUAGUAGUAGCGACAGCUGUGUCCUUGGGAAUUGUGGGAACGAAAGGCAAUGUUGGCUUGGGAAAAUCAGGAAGAUGAGGCAAUUCAGGCACUUCUGACAAUUCCGGCUUCGGUAUUGUUGGAAAUUCAGGCUUGGGUAGCUCAGGAAGCGAUGGCAAUUCGACUUUCGGUAGUGAUGAGAAUUCCGGCUUUGGCAAGCUAGGGAUGUCAGGAAGUUGAGGCAAUUCGGGCUUCGGCAAUUCCGGCACUUUUAACAACUCUGGCUUUGGUAUUGCUGGAAAUUCAGGCUUUGGCAGUUCAGGAAGCGGCGGCAAUUCGACUUUUGGCAAUGAUGGGAAUUCGGGCUUUGGCAAGCUAGGGAUGUCAAGAAGGUGAGGUAAUUCAGGCUUUGGCAAUUCGGGCACUUCAGGCAAGGUCGCCUCCAAAAGUUGGCGAGCUCUGACUGGGUUCUCACCAAUCGUCAAAGACAGAGCGAGGACAAACAAUGCCAAAAGGUGCGCGAGUCCAUGAUGGUUCGUCAUUGGAGAAUCAAUCGACUAGCAAAUUCAAAAGCUUUGAGUGAAGAAGCGGCGAAUCUCAAGUGAGAGAAGG